rnacentral:lncRNA from 1 species
AGUGUUAUCCUGCCUCACCUCCUCGGUAGAGGUGUAUGGGAAGUCGCGAUCCCUUGGCAGAUGGGUAACAUGACUUGUGGGUAAAGAUGCGCAACCUCUGCAGAGUGUAAAACUGGUAUACUAGCCGUGCUCAUGGUCAUGAGCAGCUCGGACCCUCACAUGAUUAAAUUAUGGAACUAAAUUCAAUUUGUCAUAUGCAUUGCAUCGCAGGUGAGGUUGUUACUUUUGUUCUACUACUUAAUUGGGUUGGUAUUUACUUAUACUUAGUAAUUGCUAAUAAAAUUUUGACCAACUUUAAAAGCAAUGCUCAGCUCUAACCAUCCUCUUUGAUAAGCCUUACACUUCACGUGAGCUCCCACCUUUGGCGAGUUCAUGCACAUUAUUCCCCACAACUUGUUGAGCGAUGAACGUAUGUGAGCUUACUCUUGUUGUCUCACACCCCCCCACAGGUCAAGAACAGGUACCGCAGGAUGAGGCGCAUGAAGGAUGCGGCGAUGUGUUCGUGAGAGGUCUAGUCCGUCGUCUCCCAGUCAACUUUGGGUUGCUGGACUGUUGUCUCCUUAUAAUGUAAUUAAUUAUUUAUUUUGUAUAGAACUCCUAUUAUAUAGUAAAGAUGUGACAUUCGAUCCUGUGUCAUGAUUCAUCAUAUGUGUGAGACUUGGUCCCAGCACACCUGGUGAUUAUAUUCGCGCCCGGGUCUUGGUGCCCCAAAACCCGGGUGUGACAGUUAGUCUCAAAGACCAAUCCAGAUUGUCGUUCUUUUGAAAGUCAUAAGCUGUCUCCAACAAGGGACGGUAAACCGUUAUGUCCGCCAAAUUUAGCGGAUGGAGACGUUCUCUACGCCUCCAGCAAGAGACUCCAAACCAUGCGCUAAAAUUUAGCGGUUGCCUCUGAGACGCUAAGUCUGCCGGACAUACGACCACUCGCUAAACACUAUUCAAUCAUGCGUGCUGCCUCCUCCGUUCACUCCCGCACCCAUGCACCGUACCACUGCCGGCGAGGACUAGCUUGUUGCCGACGCCGGUGAGUGUGUGAUCGCUUAUGAGUGCAUAGUCAUGGGGCUCGUCCCAACCGGCGCAGAGGCCACCGUGCUGGUCAUGGUGUUCGUGUGGCUUUGGUUUCUUGUGUCCAGUUGGAGAGAAGCUGCAUGAAGGUGGGAGAGAGAGACAACAGUAGCUCUGCGACUAUGCCAUGCAUAUGUUCGACGAAAUGGCCGAAAAGAAGGAUAGAAAAUAAACAAUGGUUUUUUGAAGCAAUCUGUAAUAUAUAUAUAUAUAUAUAUAUAUAAUGAAAGAUGGUACAACUUUAGAUAUAGAGGAUCGAGUUUAGAGAACGCUGCCGGAGAUGAUGAAAAUAUAGAGGAUGAAAUCUUUUAGAGAGAACUAUAAAGGACAUAGAAUAUUUUUUUAGAAGAUAAAAUUUAAAGUACGUUGCUGUAGAUAGCCUAAGCACUACGUGUUAGUCCAUCUAGUCAGUUCAGAAUGAUGUCAUCUUUAGAAACAUUUCUGGUUCAGUGCAUAGCUGCAAAGUAAUAUUUAAAGUAGAGUUUGCACUAGUUAUUCUAAGAGUAAAAGGAAAAUAGCAACCUCAAAUUGACUAGUUAUUCGAAGUAAUCUUUUCUAUUUUUUGUAAGCUUUUUUUUCUUGAAGUUUUGCACCAGGAUGUAUUCCGUUUCUUUGAUAAAGGAAUAAUCGACAUCUCAGCAGUGUUGUGUAUGUGAAAACACUACUGAACAACCAAGAAAAGAAGUCUAAUAACAUUUGAGAAUUUACUGUCCGAUGAACGCUAGAUAGCAGAUGUACUUCUAGAUAAUGAAUCAUUGUCGACUCCUCUUCUCUUCCCCUUGACGUGUUGUGACAUUUCCGUGUAAUAAAUCGAAAAGGGACAGUGCCCAGGUCAGAAGAGUAAAAAAAUCAGGACCAUCACAUACGCAUCCACCACCACGAACAGUCUCAAAAGGGACUUACCAUCCACCAUCCGAUCGGACGACAUGGGUGCGCAGACCUGGGAUGCCGGACUCCGUGCGGGCUGCGAAGGGACGUCAAUGACGAAUUCCCUACCGAGUUAUGGGAUAUCAGACCCAUCACCAUUAUAUUUGAUCCAUCACCAUAUCCAUCCCCAUACCCAUCAUGGGUGCGAAAUCCAUCCCAUACCCAUCCCCAUUCGCAUCCCCCUUCGGGUUUCGGGUCCCCAAUGAGUUCUCAUCCCCAAUUAAAGAAUAACUAGGUACUAACAGCUAAUACAAACUAUCCAGAUUUCAUACAUCACCACAUCGGCAAGCACUCGUCUAUGAACUAUGAUUCAUUCAUCUAUCCAUCUGUUGGAAGUCAAAUUGAGCAGCGCGGACAGUCCGGCGCUGAGGCCGGACGGUCCGCGGUCCGGACAGUCCGCGGUGGUGGCGCGGACGGUCCGCGCGCGCGCAGAGUCAGUUAGGGUUCCUAGUUUCUCGCGGGAUUUGUUACCUAAAACCGCGGGAUUAACUCGGGAAACAGUUGGAAACGGAUCCAGACCUCCCCCUUUAUAUAGAUGAAGGGCUACGGCCGAUUAAACCCCCAUCAAUCGAACAAAUCAAGUCUAUUUCUCGUUUUUACCUUACGCAUUAGGAAUAGUUCUAGUCUAGUUCUAGUUUAGCCUCUCAAUCUCCAAAUUCUCCGCCUCUCUUCGACUCUACGUCGAUUAGAGGAGUCUAGGUCGGCCUGCCGAGCCUAGACGACACCUAGGAUCUCUCCUCCCCGACGGGGUCCCUCCCGGGAGCGAGAUCCAGGCGCCGCCGGCGACCUUCGCCACCCCCUGCGCACGUGCGGACCGUCCGGCCAUCAGGCAGGGAACCUUUGCCCCUGCUCUAGGUCGCGGACCGUCCGCGCCUGACCAGAGAGCACCGCCGCCGGUUCUUGUUGAGUGAUUGGCGCCCCAAAAAGGUGCCAACACCAUCAAAAAAGAAAUCGGUACUUCGGGACCAAUAGAAGAAAUGGAGAAAUGGAGUCUCCUUACCUUCCUUGGUCACCAUCCGAGUUCGUUGGCGCCUGAGAAUACAUGGUCGUCACCGUCGUCCUAGGCUCCUAGCAGUCGGCGUAGUGUACGACUGGUUAUUUUAGGGUUUUGUUUUUUUCUAGUCUGCUAGUUGCCUUAUUGGGCUAGGACCUGAGGUCUGGCGCGUUGCUGUGCUGGGUUUGGUGGCCGGCUCAUCCUCAACUCAUUCAUACAAACAGGACAGGUGUACACGUAUGAAAUACCCAUGGGUAAUCGGGUUCGGAUUAUUGCUUCCCAAACCCAUACCCGUUUACCCAAUGGGUGGAGAUUUUGUCCCAUAUCCAUACCCAAGGGGACAAUUUUUGUCUCAUACCCGUACCCUCAUAGGGGAAUUCCCCACGGGUUAGCGGGUAUCGGGUCCCCAUUGACAUCUAUACUCGAGAUCAGGGGAGAUGGAGUCGGACUGCGGAAGGUGAGGCGGCGUGCCGGCGUGUCAUGUCUGUGCCUGCUGCGUCUUCCCAGGAUGUGGGCGUGUAACAGUAAGUACUCUAGAGUUGGACCGUGGGCCGUGUUUAGCGUACUAAUCUGGUGUCAGGGUUCAAUUGGAGUCUGUAAUGGCCUAGUAGAGACCGGCUAUAUAUUCUGUACUUGACCAGUUGGCAAAUUACGAAGAGAAUAAACCAGAGAAACAGAUCCGUAACAAACUCACCUCGGGUUGUUGUGUUCCGCUGUCCCUCCGACGUACUCACGUCCCGGCGGUGGCUCGCUGGGGGCCACGGGACGUCUCAGGCGGUAUCAGAGCCGUGGUCCUUGGAGGUCUCCACGACGGUGUUGUCCAUCAAACCAUCAGUGCAGACGCGUUUGCUGACGGAGAUGAUGGAGGUCGCGGAGCAGAAGAGCGAGGAGCGCUGGGACUGGAUGAUGAAGAUUCUAGAGCGCUUGGGCGACAAGGUGGAGGCGAUGGAGAUCGGGCAGCAACGUCUUCAACGUCAAGCAGAGGCGAUGGAGGCGGGUCAUCAACGUCUUCAUCACCAAGUUGAGGCUGCUGCAACAUCUGCGAGGAAGGUGGAAGAGGAACGAUCCAUUCUGGCGCGGCAGGUGGACGAAACCGGGAAGUCGGUGUCGCGACUUAGUUUGGAGUGGAUGGCGAAGGAGAUGGAAGGUAUGGAAACUGAGUCUAAGAGGGAAGUGUGUAACCAAAGGCGGUCUGAGGGUGGUGAUCGGGAGCAUGGUGAGCGGGAGUUUCGUGUGGAUGAUCAGCCGGGAGGAAGUAGAGAGCAUCGUGAGAAACGAGGUGGAAAUAUGGGAACCGGGUGACUGAUCCACAAGGAGGGAAUAGAGAUUAUCGGCCUUCAGAUUUGCCGAAGAUGGCAUUCCCCAAAUUUCAAGGUGCUAAACUUAAGAUUUGGUUCGAUAAGUGUUUGGAGUAUUACAAUAUCUAUCAGGUGCCUAAGUUUUUGUGGCCGUCAUCAGCUUCCCUGCACAUGGAAGGAAAUGCAGCACGGUGGGUGCGAGAAUACAAGAGGAGUCAAGGAUUGGGAAAUUGGGCCUAGUUUACUCAAGCAGUUCAGGAAAAGUUUGGGGCAGAAGAGGAUUCCCAAGCAAUGAGGGGUUUGUUGCAGCUGAUGCAGAGGUCUAGUUUAGAGGAGUACGUUCAUGCUUUUGAAGAGGCCAAGUAUGCUAAUACUUUACACAACCCUGGGUUGGGAGAAACUUUCUUUGUUUCUCAGUUUGUAAAAGGCUUGAAGGGGGAAUUGUAGGGGCAUGUGUUGGUGAUACUUCUGGCUCAGAUACAGCAGGAAGUGGUGGAGAUGAACAAGGCCAAAUUUUAGAGGAAUUAUUUAGGGAGCAAAGUGAUGGUUAACACAGCGAAAGGAGAUCCUAGAGCAGUAACUGGCCCUGUUGAUUUGGCUAAGGAGAGGCAGCUGAGAGAUUUUCGGAGGCUAAAUGGUUUAUGUUUUGGUUGUGGAGAGAAGUACGAGCCAGGACAUCAAGAUAAAUGCCAAAAAGAGGUGGAGCUCAAUUACAUAAUCUGACUAUAGAGGAUAUGGGGUUUGUAUUGUCAGAUGAGGUGUUGCAGCAGCUAGAUCAGGAAGAUAAGGAAGUGGAGGAAGCAUAUAAGUUGUCUAUAAAUGCUAUCAGUGGAACUGACCGUGAGGAUUGUAUGAGGGUUCGGGCUCUGGUCCAAAAUCGAGUACUGGUGAUGUUGGUAGACUCUGGCAGCUCCUCAAGUUUUGUCAGUCAGAGAAUAGUAGAUCAGUUGGCCUUAUCAACUGAAGUGGUUUCACUAGUAAGAGUACAUGUGGCUAAUGGUGAGUCUAUGUUGAGUUCAAAAAGGGUGGCAUCACUGGAAUGGUGGGCAGAAGGACACUCUUAUGCCAGUAAUAUGAGAGUACUGGAUUUAGAAGCUUAUGAUGCUAUAUUGGGGUAUGAUUGGCUAAAGAGCCAUAGUCCUAUAGAGUGUGAUUGGGACAACAAGGUGCUGACAUUCUGGGAUAAAGGGGUAAGAGUGUAGCUGAGGGGGAUGGUGAAGGAAGUACAAAAGUGUUGCAAGUGUCAGCUGUACAACUGAGAAGGUGGAUGAAGAUAAAUGACGUGUGGGCUUUUGUGAUGUUAGAAACAAUGCAGGAGGAAGGUGCUGAAAAGGAACAGGACCACUGAGGCAGAUACUUAAGGAGUUUGAAGAUUUGUUUGUUGUGCCCACUGGACUACCUCUGGUUAGGAUGUAUGACCAUCAUAUACCAUUGCUCCCAGGGUCUAUUCUGGUGAAUUCCAGGCCUUAUAGGUAUUCACCUUUCCACAAGAUAGAAAUAAAAAGGCAAGUGAUAGAGUUAUUAACUGCAGGACUGAUAGUGCCCAGUGCCAGUCCAUUUGCAUCCCCCGUAUUACUAGUUCAGAAGAAAGAUGGCAGCUAGAGGUUUUGCAUCGAUUAUAGAAGGUUGAACUCCAUGACCAUCAAGAACCGAUUUCCCAUGCCCUUGGUGGAUGAGAUCCUGGAUGAGUUGGCAGGAACUCAGUUUUUCAUAAGUCUAGACAUGACUGCGGGGUAUCAUCAGAUUAGGAUGGCAGAGGAGGAUGAGGGUAAAACUACGUUCAAAACUCAUCAUGGCCAUUACCAAUUCCGAGUUAUGCCUUUUGGACUGACAAAUGCACCAACGACAUUCCAGUGUGCCAUGAACACAGUGCUAGAACCGUUUCUACGGAAGUUUGUUAUGGUAUUCUUGGAUGAUAUAUUAAUCCACAACCCGAGUCUAGAGGAGCAUUACAAACAUCUCAGGAUGGUAUUGUCCAAGCUCAGAGAACAUAAGUUUUUCUUGUAGCAUAAGAAGUGUGUUUUUGCGAAGAAAGAGCUGAAAUAUCUUGGACAUGUUAUAUCCAGAGAUGGGGUAGCGACAGACCCUGCAAAGACAACUACUAUGCUGGCAUGGCCUAGACCAUAGAAUAUCACUGAGUUAAGAGGAUUUCUGGGGCUUACAGGGUACUACAGGAAGUUUGUGUGUGGGUAUGAAGUUCUAGCAUGACCCCGCACUCAGCUGCUGCAAAAACGACAUGGGUUCAAGUGGAAUGAUGAUGCUCAAGCAGCGUUUGAGGCCCUAAAAAAGGCUAUGACGUCUAUUCCUGUCUUGGCCCUACCACGAUUUGAUCAUCCUUUUGUGGUAGAGACAGAUGCAUGUGAAAACGGAAUGGGGGCAAUGCUCAUGCAACAAGGAAAGCCCAUAGCUUAUAUCAGCAAGGCUUUAGGAGAGAGGAAUAGACACAUGUCUAUCUUUGACAAAGAGUUUUUAGCCUUAAUCCUUGCUGUGGAGAAAUGGAGGCCAUAUCUGCAAAGGAGUCCUUUUGUUAUCAAGACUGAUCAUAAGUCACUUACAUUUUUAGGGGAGCAGCAACUACAGUCCGAACUACAAAGGAAAGCUAUGGCAAGAUUAAUGGGCCUUCAGUUUCAGAUUGUUUACAAAAGAAGGGGUAGAGAAUCGAGUAGCUGAUGCUCUAUCCAGGGUGGGGGCUAUGAUGGAGCUGGCUGUUCUUUCUGAAGUACAACCAUUGUGGAUUCAAGAGAUUUUGAAUUCCUAUGAGACAAAUGUUGAAGCUCAAUAGUUAAUUACUCAGUUGUUGGUGCAUAGUCCCAAUGAACAAGGGUUUAGUUUGCAGCAAGGUAUUGUCAGGAAAGGUGACCGAAUCUGGAUAUGGUUCAACUCUGCCCUUAGAACCAAACUGAUAGCAGCUUUACAUGACAAUGCCAUGGGGGGCAUUCUGGCAUAGAUGCAACUUAGAGGGUCAAGAAACUUUUCUGAUGGAAGGGACUUAAGGUGGAUGUAACUCAGUUUGUGCACCAGUGCCUGACCUGUCAAUAGGCAAAAUCAGAAAGGACUCAUCCAGCAGGUCUGUUAUAGCCUCUUCCUGUUCCACAAGGAAUUUGGGAAGAUGUCACAAUGGAUUUUAUCGAAGGGCUGCCAAAGUCUGAAGGUUAUGACAACUAUCAUGGUAGUAGUGGAUAGAUUCACAAAAUAUGGACAUUUUCUUCCACUCAAACACCCUUUCACUGCCCAAGGAGUGGCUCAAGUAUUCUUGGACCAGGUGGUGAAGUUACAUGGACCUCCCAAAUCCAUUGUAUCAAACAAAGACAAGAUUUUCAUUAGCUCUUUUUGGAAGCACCUAUUUCAACUUAUGGAUGUCAAGUUGCUGUUUUCAACUGCCUAUCAUCCGCAGACUGACGGUCAAAGCGAACAGGUGAAUCAAUGUUUGGAGACAUAUUUAAGGUGUGCAGUAAAUGCUCAGCCGUCUAAAUGGAAGUUGUGGUUGGCCUUGGCAGAAAUUUGGUACAAUACUACUUACCAUACUAGUCUGGGUUGUACUCCUUUCAAAGCACUAUAUGGAUAUGAUGCUCCGAUGUUGGCAUUACCUCAAUCUGGUGUUCCUGAGGAUGGGUCAGUAAUGGAUUGGCUGGCUGACAGGGUUGCUUUCUCAACUCAUCUCAGAGAACAACUCGCUUGAGCUCAAAAUCGGAUGAAACAAAUGGCUGAUCGGGGACAGACGACAAGAGAGUUUUAGGUUGGGGAGAUGGUGCUGCUAAAGCUUCAGCCAUAUGCUCAAAAAAUUAUGGUAAACCGUCCUUGUCCAAAGUUGGCUUUCAAAUUUUUUGGUCCUUUCAAAGUGUUGGCUAAGAUUGGUGUGACAGCUUACAAAUUGGAUCUACCAGAUAGUGCUCAAGUUCAUCCGGUGUUUCACGUUUCGCAACUGAAACCUUAUCAUCCAUCGUAUACUCCGGUCUUUACUUCUUUGCCUCCAUUAGUGGACCUCUCAAGGACUGGCAUUAUUCCUGAAGAAAUUCUUGAUCGACGUUUGGUGUGCAAAGGCAAUCAAGUUGUUCCACAAAUUCUUAUUCGCUGGUCUAGUGUUCCAGUGGAAUCCGCAACUUGGGAAAAUUAUUAUGUGUUGAAGAACCGUUUUCCAGACGCCAUCGCUUGGGGACAAGCGGAUACUGAGUCCCGGGGAAUUGUCAUGUGUGUGCCUGCUGCGUCUUCCCAGGAUAUGGGCGUGCAACAAUAAGUACUCUAGAGUUGGACCGUGGGCUGUGUUUAGCAUACUAAUCUGGUGUCAGGGUUCAAUUACAGUCUGUAAUGGCCUGGUAGAGACCGACUAUAUAUUAUGUACUUGGAUAGUUGGCAAAUUACGAAGAGAAUAAACCAGAGAAACAGAUCCGUAACAAACUCACCUUGGGUUGUUGCGUUCCGCUGUCCAUCCGACGUACUCACGUCCCGCCGGUGGCUCGUCGGCGGCCACGGGACGUCUCACGGCGUCCAUGCCUUCGCGACGACGUGGGAGAGCUGAUAUUUGCCGUCACCACGAAAUACAUUCGUAAAAUUGUCAUGAGACCUACAUUUCAUAGACACAAAUAGAUCCACAAUCUAUAAAUACACGGAUAACUAUAACAAACAGUCAAUAUUUCAAGUGGCAAUUUUCCAAUUAUUUUGCUUUUUCACUCGUCCCGCCGAGGCCUUGGACAUGGGCUACAUUUUUUUUGCAGAUAGACAAAGCAAUAACCCAGUCAGAAGCAUGAGUUUAAACAGCCCAGCAACCUAAUGACUACUGGGGCUUCCUUACGUUGGGCUAGUUAGGCUAGGCGCUAGGCCCAUGUUGAGGCCCGUCGUAGCUGCACUAGCAGGGGAAAAACGGAGGCGAUUACAUCAAGAAUGGAAGAAACUAGGUAGCAUUUGGUUUCGCUUCAAAGUAUGAUCGGAUAAAGCUCCUUCCCUUCUUAAUUUAUUAUUUUUUGGAUUAGUUCUAUGUUGGAUGAAGUGACUCUUAAAAAAGAAAUAUUCCAAUUAGAUGUUGAACCAUCCAACUCUCCAAAAUCUUCUGAACAGAGUUGCUCCUCCAUCCAACUACCCUAGCUGCCCAUCUGAUCCGAUUUCAAAGUCGAGUAGGGAUUGGGUUGGUCACUAGUUUUUUAUUCCUUCAGGAGACCAAAAACAAGACAACACAAUUAAAUAAAGCUUUAUCUUUAUUCUUUACUCUAUCCAUCUCGGAGGAAAGAUAGUUAAAUGACGAAGAUAUUAAGAAUCAACAUAGAACAAUGAAGAGCAUCAAAGAUAGAUGCUACAUGAUAUAAAGAUGAAGUACAUAAUUCAACCUUAUUAAACGUUACUUCCUUCCUUCUUUUAUUAUUUAACGAAGGACUACAAUAAUACCUUCGGCUCCUUAGAAUUACAAUGCAAAGGUAAGAGAGAUACAACUUCGUAGGCAGAGUGAAAUAAUUUCUCCUGACCAAAAACAUGUCCAAUGCACAACAUUGUUCCUCUAUUUAUGGUAAAAAAUACUUGAUAUAAUGAUAUGGUUGAUGUGACCAUGGAAGUCUAUAUUGAUGAUGCCAGUACCCUAAAACAGGGGUACCCCUUACUACCGUAUGAAGACAUAGUACCCACGCGGCUAUCUUUAGUCGCGUGGUAAAGGAGUUGUGUGUUGGACCAGACCAUGGCUCGCCCCAGCCUCGGGCGACUACUCUGGGCCAGCGACAGCACCCGACCCCUCCACGUGGACGGUUCAGGGGCCGCCACGUGGCCAGAGAAGAAGAUAUACUCCAAGGUAUCAACAGUGAGUCCGGACCCCCAUGGGAAAGUGCCGGACCCUUGUAUAUACAGACCGGGCCUCUAGGUAAGGUCCAGGACCCCCACGGGCGCAAACCGGACCCCUAGGAUGGGGUCCGGACCCCUCCAUGUGGGGUCUAGGCCGCUCACGGCAGGGUCCCAGGAUUCUGGGACAGAGAAUGCCCAGGCCUUAAUCAAGGCCAGACGGGGGUCCGGAGCCGACACGUGUCCGGACCUUAUCGUAUACUCUUCUGCUCCCGGCCCAGGCGGAGAUCCGAUGCUGCCGCGUGGCCUACUGCAUGUGACGUAAGCCAACGGGCAGAGCCUGACGUAAGGCCUCGGGACUGCGUGACCUCUGCAUUUAUUGUGGAUAAGGCGCGCCGCCUAUCCAUUCCACUGGCAGGCGAUGUGCCGCCUCAGCAUUUAUUGAGCCCUGUCCAUUCCACUGGUAGGCGAUGUGCCGCCUUCGCAUUUAUUGAGCCCUAUCCAUUUCGCUGGCAGGCGGAGACCAGUCCGUUCCGCAGGCGGCGUGCCUGUCCAUUCCAUUGGCAGACGGUACACCCAUACUGCCGCGUGCACUACGCCCAUCAUUACUCGUACGUUACCAAGGAAGCAGCCGCCGCGUGUCAAUACUAUGCGGACUGCGGACAUCGAGGCGCACAGGAGAUUGCACAGGCGUUAGUUACUCCUAUAAUAUAUUCCUUCCGUUAUGUUCCUGGACCCACAUGUCGGGCUCAGCAUCCUUGUAUGUGCCUCCCUUGAGCUAUAAAAGGAAAGACACACAACGUUACAAGGCAGAUUCACUCAGAUUCUUAGACUCACAAGUUCAUACAAGCUCUCAAGCUCAUAGACUCAAUACAACACACAGACAGUGGAGUAGGGUAUUACGCUUCGGCGGCCCAAACCACUCUAAAUCCUCGUGUUCACUCGUGUUCAUUGAUCUCCCGAUAGACAGGCAAAACGCUUAGGCCCCUCCCCAUCUUAGGAUUUAGGGCGGGUGCGUUCCGCCACCCGGCCGGAGAAUUUCCUCUCCGACAGAUGAUAUUAUGAUAAAAUUAGUUAUCCAUACAUCUCAUUUGGUUGACUUGCAUCUUGCUUUUGCGAGGAUGUGAUAGUAUGGUUCGAAGAUGAACCCACUCAAAUAUGUUUUUGGUGUAUCAUUUGGGAUGUUCUUGGGCUUUAUUAUUCACAACAAAAGCAUAACUAUUCAUCAUAAAAACAGAGAAUAUUAAGAGAGUUUAGGUCCCUACAUGCAAAAAAACUUGCAAAAGUUCCUAGGAAAGGUGAACUACUUAAGAAAAUUUAUUGCAAAAUUGUUUGAAAAAAAUAUUCCAUUUACCAUAUUGUCGGUGUUUCGUACCUCACUCUGACAAGUAAUUUUUUUGUACACGUUCUGGGCUCUCGAGGGUGUGCGGAGAGCAUAAGAUUUAUACUGGUUCGAGUAGAAUGUCCCUACAUCUAGUCAUCGGUGGCUUGCACUACCAACAUCAUUGAUGAUCAACCUCUUAGUAGGGGUUACAAGCAGUCGAGAGAGGGAGAAGAGGCUCCCAGAUCUCUUAUCAGGGUGAAAGUGGAGCUUAUAAGCUGCAAGGUGGAGUCCUAGCUAAGUCUUGGCUUGGCGGGGCUUCGACCUCCUGGUCCUCAUUGGUGCUCCUCCUCCUGUUCGUCCUUAUGGGUUCGUCUUUGUCUGAAGGUGUCCGGUUGUCUCCAAGAGCUUUCUCCUCGGUCCGUCCUUCUGUUCCUCACCCUCUGCUCGGAAGUUGGCCUCUACCUUUUAUAGGUCGGGAUAAGGAUCAGUCAACGGUGGCUUUCCCGGGAAGGAGCUAUAAGGCAUGGGUAAAUCCAACACUUUACCUCAGGUGAGGCCACACGUACUUGUGGGGCCCAGGGCUGCCUGGCUGUCGCAUAUUUAUCGUGGUGGAUGACGUGGUGCAGCGAUGGUCCUAGAUGUCAUCAUUCCGGCUAUGCCGACCCUUGGCUUUCAUAGCCUGGGGCUCGACGCAGCCCGUCGUGUAGUGCCCUACGAGAGGUCUGCGCACUUAGGCCUAGUUCGAUAGGCCAUAAGUGCACCACAGACUGAGGGGCGCACUGGCCAUCAAUGCGACGUAGUCCGGGGGCUCGUAGGUCAUGAGCGCUAUGCGGCCCGAGGGGUUCAUAGGUCAUGAGUGAGAAGCACACCGACGUCCAUGCUCUGGCUCGGUGCCAGACGUGGUUAAUGCGACUAGUCAUUUAUGGUAGGUUAGUCUAGGGCCGUGCGCGGGAUCCACUCGAGUGGUUCCCUUCUCACACGCCUGGCCUCCCUUGUCAGUUUUCGCCACGCCCGGCCCUAGGGUUAGUGUCGCGGGGUUCGACCAGGGGCGAGUCUUUUAGGGUUGACGUAUAUGCCUCUUCCGACUAACUAACAGACCCCAACGAUCAGGGGUUCUUUCCUCAGCGCGCUCACUGACCAGUGGGUCCUAGGGUCUGGGGAUCAUUCCCCCGACAGUAGCCCUCGAGCCCCCGAAGGGGGAGUAUCUUCCUUCGAGGGCUGAUGAUAGGUGGACGAUGUCUUGUUCCCUUUUGUCGCUUGCCGCUGUCGAGUGAAAUUCACAAAGCCCAAUGCUGGUUUUCGGGAACCAGUUGGGCGCUAUAAGUAGGGGAUCGCUCCGUGCUUACCCCCAACGGUUUUCAGUUGUUGCUUUGUGCCCUUGUCACACCCGGUUUUAGAAGGCAAACCGAAUGCGAACCAUGUACGUGCCAGGAUCAGCAAUUCACGUACACAGCAGUUACAUAACUGGACAUCAUCACACAGUGCUAAAAUAAUGAAAUAAAAGAGGGUAUAAUAGUCGAUUACAUCAUGAUGUCCGAGACAUCCACAUAGUCUUUAACAAUAAUCAAAGUGAGGAAAAGAAACGUAGAUACACACGACCUACACAGGCAGCCGACUAGGGGUUUGCCGCUAACCCAAGCCUAGAACUCAUCGUACUCUUGGAACUCCGGGAAGUCCUCCACGACUUCAUCUUCACCUCAGCAGUGGUUGCAAUGCGGACUAUCUGGGGGGGUUUGGUGUGUAAAGCAAGGGUGAGUACACAUCAACAUACUGAGCAAAAUGUCCCGUUUGGCUGUAGUGGACUAGCUUUAUGUGGAGUUAAGUUAAGCAGUUGCUUUUAGUUAGUCAGGUUAUUAUUUACUAGUAGAAAGCCAGGUUUUAGCAUUAGCCCAAGUUAUUAACCCAGAUGUACCCUUUCCAAACGGAAAGAAUACCACUUACCAUUACCAUAGGUAUAAUCAAAGUCAUCAUCCUCAUCACCACCUGUAAACCAUACAUCCCUAACCAUGUAUCUCUAAUCAAUGGAGCUCCCUUGGCCGCUCAUAACCGCGAGCAUGGCUGAUAUAUCAGUUUCAUAACACUCUGCAGAGGUUGCGCACUUUACCCACAAGCCGUGAUUCCCUCUUGCCUCGGGCCGAUCAAACCCUUAAACACUACCAAGGUGAAUAGCAGGGUCUCACUACGUAGCCUUUACAAAGAUUUCCUGGGGCUGUAGCCACCUGUUAGGUUUCCUAAAUGCACCGCACUCCUCCCCAAGAGGCGAACCAACCUUGGCAGAGCAAGCCACAUACAUCGAGCCCCAUUAAUGGCACGACGACAAAGCGAACUACACCCCAGUUCCUCUAAUUACUCAGCUAAGGGCGUCCCACUCCACCCUCAUGGUUGCACUGUUUUCCCGAGCGGUCAUCCAACGAACAGAUCCUUACGGAGAGGCACUCGAGAAACCGCUCGAGUCCCCUUAAGGGCCACAAGUACCAUCAUCAUAAUCAAAAGGGAAAACAGCGUAUCAUAGAUAAUCUCAUCAUGUUCAUUUAUUAAUGUGAAGCCCUAGCAUAAAGCUAAACCAUAAUAACCCAACCAGAAUAGGUAAACAAGGACAAGAUAAACAAAAGCUAGUCAAUCCUUAGGUAUAAACUGUGUAAAUGCAGGGAAUGAAUUAUAAGAAUGAGUAGGACAUAGAUGGGUCAAGGGACAUUUGCCUUCACCAACUAGAUGCUGCUGAGGGUCUUCACCUGCAACUCCUUCGGACUCCGCCAACUAACUGUUAUCUAUACGAGUUUCAAACAUACAUUCCACAAGUUUUAAUACAAAAGAACAGUACACCAAACAAUAUAAUGCAAUAAAUAGACAGACGUUCGACGCAGGGCUCACACCUAUGACUAAGCGAGAAAAAGAAAGUAACGGUCGAGGCUACGGUCGAAGAGCGACCACAUCACACGAUUAUAAAUUAAAAUACUCGUCUAAACAGAAUGGUAUUAAUUUAGCCAUCGCAUUUAGCAUAGGGUAAAGUCAUGUUCCAUGUUUAAUUAUUAUAAGCAGAUAAAGGUAAAUUAAAAGGAUUGUCGCGCGGCGAGACACGCAACACAGCACUUAAAUUGAAUUAAGAAAUAAAUGACUCGUCGCAUGACAGAGCGCGCAACGAGACACUUGCAAUAAUUAUAAAGAGACGUUAAGCGUCGUGCGGCGAAACGCAUGACGGAAAAUAUCAACUGAACUAAAUUUAAAACGAAACAUCGCGCGAUGAACCGCGCGACACAGAUCAUUAAUAAAGAUGAAUUUAAAAUGAAUUGUCGUGCGACGAAGCGCGCGACGUAGCACAUCGACUAAACUAAAAUUAAAAAGGGAUUAAGCUGAAAGUCGAAUGUCGCGCAACUACAGUCGCGCGCGCGAACACGCUGUGCGCGCCGGGGGCACGCAACCGUAGGGGCGCGAGGCCGCCAGGGCACGGGCGCGUAGGGGUGCGGGCGCGAGGCCGGGGAGGGCGCGCGAGGGCAUGGCAGGGAGGGCACGCGACUAGGGGAGGCACGGAGGGUGGGGGGAGAGGAGCAAGAAGAGGAAGGAGAGAGAGAGAGAGAGGAGGGGGCUCACCACGGGUAUCCAAAUCCGGCGAUCAACGUCUCCAAAACCUAGGGCACCACGAGGAAGAGAGAGAGGUGGGAGAGAGAGGGAGUUGUGCACGAGAGAAUUGAAUGAGGGGAAGGAGAGACAAGGUGUCACACCCGGUUUUGGAAGGUAAACCGAAUGCGAACCAUGUACGUGCCAGGAUCAGAAAUUCACGUACAUGGCGAUUAUAUAAAUGACUCAUCAUAGCAUAAUGCUUCGAAUAACAAUAAAGAUAAGUAAUAAUAUGAAAGACUAGAGUCAUUUACAUAAUAUAAUCAAAGUACACAGAACAGAAACGUAGCCAACGUAAAUAAACCCACCACAGGCAGCUGACUGGGGGAGGUCGCUAGCCUAAUCCUCGAACUCGUCGAAGUCCUGGAACUCCUGGAGAUUCGCCUCGACACCUUCUUCUUUACCUGAGCAUAGAUUGCACCAAAGGCAACCUGGUGUUUUGUGAAAGCAAGGGUGAGUACACAUCAACGUACUCAACAAAUGUCCUGUUUGGCUGAGGUGGACUAGCUUUAUGUGGGGUUAAGCUCAAGCAGUUGCUUUUAGUUGGUCAGGUAUUUAUUAUCAGUGGAAGCCAAGUUUUAGUAAUAACCAACAUGUGAACCAUUUCCUCAUCGAGGAACAUCAUCAUCAUAGUCGAACCCAAAACCAUAAACAUAAUCCUUGUAUCUCGAACCAUCUGUAUCUCUAAUCAAAGAGGAUCCCAAGGCUGCUCUUAACCGUGAGCACGGCUGAUAUAUCAGUUUCACUACCCUCUGCAGAGGUCGCACACUUUACCCAUGAGCCGUGAUUCCCGUUCUGCCCGGGGAGAGCUAAUCCCCAUUGACCACUACCUAGGUGGUCCGGCAGGGCAUCACUACGUAGCUUUUACAAAGAUUCCCUAGAGAUCAUAGCUGCCCGUUAGGUUUCUCCAGUUUGAUAAACACAGUACCCCUCCCCGCAGGAGAGUGACUAACAAAGAGCAAAACGAAAGAACCUCGGCACUCAGCCUCGGCAGAGCAAGCACUGUGCCUGGACCCAUUUGACGGCACGACGGCUAAGCAACUACACCUCCAGUUCCUCCAAUUAAUCAGCUAAGGGCAUCCCAUUUCACCCUCAUGGUUGCACUGUUAUCCCGGGUGGUCUCUCAACGAACAGGUCCUUACGGAGAGGUACUCAGGAAACAGCCUGAGCCCCCUAGAGUAUCACAAGAUCAUCAACAUCAUCAGGAUAACAGUAUCAUAGAUAGUCACAUCAUGUUCAUUGAUUAAGUUAAGGCAAAAGCAGAGUGCUAACCAUAACAACCCAAUAGGUCAUCAAGGACAAAGUAAAGUGUAAAGCUAGUCAAUCCUUAGGUUUCAAGUAAGUAGUGCGGGGUAGUAAGUUAUAAAUGAAUAGGACAUAAUGGGACAGAGGACACUUGCCUUCACCAAACUGCUGAUCAGGGACUUCCUCUGCAACUUCCUCGGGAAACACAGACUGCUCGUUGUCUACGUAAAGUAAUCAUUCACACUAUGCACUUGGGAAGAUAACAAACAAAAAGCAACAUACCAAACAUAUGCAGCAGAGAGAUCACAAGUUCAUAGUUGAAAAGGGAUAGGCACUCUGGUGUUCCCUAGGUCUAGGGUAGAGGACUAUACAAAGUGAUUCAUUAUCCACUAAUCAGGUUUAAGUCAGUGGAGGGAUUAAAUCAUUACAUGGUUUUAAGUUCCUAAACUUAGGUGUUUAAGUCCAUAAACUUAAGUAUUCUAACUUUCAUUAAAGUCUACCAACUUCUAAUUAUCUCAAAUAGGGUUCCAAUAGCCUUAAUCCUAUCCUAGUGAUUAACUAUUAAUUGGUACAUGGAAACAGCAGGGAAACAUUGUUUAAAUAGAUAGACAAAAACAUCAUGAGCAUUUUGCAAUUUGAAGCACCUCAUUUGGAGUUCAUAUGACAAAGUUAUGGAUUUUACAAGUUUAGGGGUUAAAAAUAUACCCUAAAUACCUAUUUUGAAUUAAAUAAAUGUCCCAGGGACCUAACCGAGAGAAACCAGGGACGGCGGGUUCAAAUUCCAUAAAACCGGGGGUCUCUUUAAGAAAACGCGCGGGCGAAGGGGUAUCGGGCUACUACGGUCGUCAGAUCUAAAGCGAACGGCCAGGAUUAGAUCCUGCGGGCGGGCGCGCGAGCGCGCGGCGGCCUGGGCGGCUGACAGGCGGGACCGGGCGGGCAGCGCGGGGCGCGGGCAGGCUGACAGGCGGGGCCCAAACGGCAGGGGGACGGGGUGUGGGGGAAGCGGGCCUGGGCCGCUGGAUCUCCGGCGGACGGCCAGGAUUAGGAUUGACCUAAUUAAAACGGGACCGCCCGGUCUGGGACGAACGGUGGGGAUCGGGUGGCCGGCCUGGGCUUCUCCUACGGCUAGCUAGGGCGGCGGCGCUCGUCCCCGCGGCGGAGGACUCGCCGGAGACGAGGGGCGCGGGCGUUUGGCGGGUCUCUGGGGCGAACUGAGUGGCCGGGAAGGUUGGGGAGGGCACGGGGAGUCCUCUGGUGGGGUCUGGGUCGGGGCAGGGGCACCGGAGGGGGGCGGCCCACGGCGGAGCGGCUCGGCGACGGCAUAAAUCUACUCCGGCGAGGAAUUACACAUGGCAGAAGGCAAUACACGGGUCGAUAGGGGCGGGAGAGGUUCUUUACCUCAAGGCGGGCUCCGGGGAUUCCUCGGCGGCGGUAAUGGCGCGACGGUGGCCCGGGGCGGCGGUGGCGGACCUCCGCGGCUGCACGUGGAACGGCGGGUGAGCGCGGGCAGAGAGAAAUAGGGAGGGGGAGAGGGAAUUGGGGCGCGUCCCGGGUUGCGGACGCCGGGGCGAAGCUCACCGUGGCAACGGACACGGCGGAGCUCCAACGGCGGCCGGGAAACGAGCUCGGGACGGCGGGGAUUUGUGGCGGCGGUGCUCUGGCGUGCGCGCAGCGAGGGAGAGGUGGAAGAGGGGUCUGCUGGAGCGCAAAUGGGGGAGGGGGAGAGGGCGAGUGGGGCUCGGGGCUCAAGUGGCCAGGGGCGGGGCGGUUGCGAGCUCCACGCGCGACGUGGGCGCGGAGAAGGCGGCCGCGCGCAGCUCGGGCGGCGGUUACGCGAGGACGACGGGGCUGACAAGCCGGGCCCGCGAGCAGAGAGAGAGGGGAGAGCGGGGGCGGCCGCGCGGAAAGCGGCCGCGCUGACGGGCGGGCCCGCCAGGGCAGAGAGAGCGGGGGGGGGGGGGGGGGGGGGGGAGAGGGCGCGCGCGCGGGAUGGGCCUGGCUGGGCCGAAAGGCUGAGGGGGCGGCGGGGUUGGGCUUCUUUCCUCUUUUCUUUUAUUCUGGAAUUGUUUUCUCUUUUCUUUUUAUUUUCUCUAUUUGAUUCAAAUCCAAAUAAGCCACAAAUUCAAAUUAGACUUUCCAAGAAUUAUGCACCAAGCAAAAGUGAAAUCUAGGGUUCAACAUGAUGCAACAAUUCAUACUCCCUUAGGGUUUAACCUAUUAAACUAUAAUUACAAAUAAAAUAAGCACUUUUCUCCUAUAGAAAUGAGAAAGAAAAGAAUGAGGAAGGAUGAGAAAAGGGAAGUAACACCUGAAUUUGUGAAUAUGAGCAAAGAAAUUUUAUACCCCCAAAUUCAGGGUGUUACAAACCUAUCCCCCUUAAAAGAAUCUCGCCCCGAGAUUCAAGGUUGGUCAGCAAAGAGUUCGGGGUAUUUGGCCUUCAGAUCAUCUUCUCGUUCCCAGGUUGCUUCUUCCUCCAAGUGGUGACCCCAUCUGACUUUGCACAUUCUGAUGGUGUUCCUCCGGGUGACUCUGUCUGCAAACUCCAGAAUCUGCGUUGGCUUCUCUAUGUAGGUCAGAUCCUCCUGGACCUCCAAACCCUCCACUGGCAACUGCUCUUCUGGUACUCGCAGACACUUCUUCAAUUGCGACACGUGGAACACAUUGUGCACUGCUGACAAACUUUCUGGUAGGUUGAGCUGGUAGGCCACUUCUCCACGCUUUGCUUGAAUCUGAUAUGGUCCAACGUACCGGGGUGCUAGCUUGCCUUUGACUCCGAACCUUCUGACUCCCCUGAUAGGUGACACCUUCAGAUAGACGUAAUCUCCCACUUCAAAACUCAGUUCUCUUCUCCUUCGGUCCGCAUAGCUUCGCUGCCUUGAUUGUGCUAUCUUCAGGUUCUCCCGAACCAUCUUGAUAUUCUCUUCGGCUUCAAGUAUGAUGUCGGGGCCAAACACCUGUCUCUCUCCAGGCUGGUCCCAGUGCAGCGGAGUCCUGCAACUCCGCCCAUAGAGUGCCUGAAAUGGUGACAUCUUCAAGCUGGCCUGGUAACUAUUGUUGUAGGAGAAUUCUGCAUAAGGUAACCUUUUGUCCCAUCCUGACUUGUCUUGCAACGCACAGGCUCUCAACAUAUCUUCUAGGAUCUGAUUAGUUCUUUCAGUCUGACCGUCUGUCUGCGGGUGAUAAGCUGAGCUGAAGUUCAAAUGUGUGCCCAAAGCUUCUUGUAGCUGCUGCCAAAAAUGAGAGGUGAACUGCGUUCCUCGAUCUGACACUAUCUUCUUCGGCACACCAUGAAGGCAGACUAUCCGUGACAUGUAUAACUCCGCUAACGUUGCUCCGGUGUAUGUUGUCUUCACGGGUAUGAAAUGGGCCACCUUUGUUAAGCGGUCCACAACCACCCAGAUGGAAUCAUAGCCGGCCCGGGUACGAGGUAGGCCAACUAUAAAAUCCAUCCCGAUCUCAUCCCACUUCCACUGAGGAAUCCGCAAUGGCUGCAACAAUUCGGCGGGCCUCUGAUGCUCUGCUUUGGUUCUCUGACAGCUAUCACAGAUGGCAACAUAUUCUGCGAUUUCUCUUUUCAUGCCAUACCACCAAAAUCUCCUUUUUAAAUCCUGAUACAUCUUUUCACUUCCAGGGUGUAUGGAGUAAGCUGUCUCAUGAGCUUCCUUGAGGAUCAGUUCCCGAAUAGGUUUGAGGUCGGGAACACACAAUCGGUCCUUGAACCAUAUUACUCCCUCUUCAUCCUCUCGAAAGUCUUUGCCUCUUCCUUCUAAGAUCAGCUGCCGGAUCUUGUUGAUAUUUUCAUCAUCCUUCUGCCCUUCUUUGAUCUCCCGCUCUAGGGUGGGCUCUAAUUCCACUGUUACUCCUUGCGUACUGUUCAGGAAACCGAGGCUCAGUCUGUUGAACUCUUUGGCUAACUCAUACGGCAUCGGGUACGAGGCCAACAUAUUGACUUGACUCUUCCUGCUCAGAGCAUCUGCAACAACAUUGGCUUUGCCUGGAUGGUAAUGUAUCUCCAACUCAUAGUCCUUGAUCAAUUCCAACCAUCUUCGCUGCCUCAUGUUUAACUCUGACUGGGUGAAUAUGUACUUCAGACUUUUAUGAUCUGUGUAGAUGUCGCACUUCUGCCCAUACAGGUAAUGUCUCCAUGUUUUUAAGGCAUGAACCACCGCUGCCAACUCCAGGUCAUGUGUGGGAUAAUUUUUCUCAUGGAUCUUCAGCUGUCGAGAUGAGUAUGCUACAACUCUUCCUUCUUGCAUUAGCACACAUCCCAAUCCGGUGUAAGAAGCAUCGCAAUACACUGAGAAUGACUUGUGAACAUCAGGCAGAACUAACACAGGAGCUGUAGUCAAUCUAUUUUUCAGUUCUUCAAAUGCUUCCUGACAUUUUUGGGUCCACUUAAACUCAACUUUCUUCGCUAGUAACGCUGUCAUUGGUCUAGCAAUCUUUGAGAAGCCUUCAAUGAAACGCCUAUAGUAUCCAGCCAUUCCAAUGAAGCUCUUGAUCCCACGAACAUCCUUCGGCGCUUUCCAGUUCAGGAUAUCUGCUACUUUCUUUGGAUCCACUGCCAACCCAUCUUGGUUUAUGAUGUGACCCAGAAAUAAGACUUCAUGAAUCCAGAACUCGCAUUUGCCCAGCUUGGCAUACAACUGAUGCUCUCGAAGCCUUUGCAAUACCAUCUUCAAAUGCUCUACAUGAUCUUCUCACUUUGAGAGUAUAUGAGAAUGUCAUCGAUGAACACUACCACAAACUUGUCUAGAUAGUCCAUGAACACGCUGUUCAUCAGAUACAUAAAGAAGGCUGGCGCAUUUGUCAAUCCAAAGGACAUAACUGUGAACUCAUAUAACCCAUACUUGGUGAUGAAUGCCGUCUUCGGUAUAUCUGAGGGUCGGAUUCUGAGUUGAUGGUAACCAGAUCUCAGAUCUAUCUUCGAGAAUACGCUGGCACCUCUGAGCUGGUCGAACAAAUCUUCUAUCCUUGGCAGGGGGUACUUGUUCUUGACAGUGACUUCAUUCAAGGCCCUGUAGUCUAUGCACAUCCUUUUGGUACCAUCUUUCUUCUCUACAAACAACACUGGAGCGGCCCAAGGCGAGGUGCUUGGCCUGAUGUAACCCUUCUCUAACAUCUCAUCUAUUUGCUUCUUGAGUUCCACCAAUUCUGGUCCAGACACUCGAUAGGCUCUUUUGGAGAUGGGGGCGGUACCAGGGAUAAGUUCUAUGACAAAUUCAACCUUUCUCUCGGGUGGCAUGCCCGUUAGCUCCUCGGGAAAUACAUCCGGAAAGCCCGACACAACCUUGAUAGCCUCGAGCGGGUUGGGCUCCUUACUAUCAACUGAAAUCUGGUGACAGACUCCCUCUUCUGACUUAGGCAUCCUUAGCUCGGCCACAACCUCUUCUCCUGACGGGGACUUCAAUGUUACGGUCCUCUUGUCACAACUAACAUUUGCUUCAUACUUCAUUAACCAGUUCAUCCCUAGAAUAACAUCUAUCCCGGGGGUGUCUAUUACUAUUAAGUCACUGGGGAAUCCUAUCCCCCUUAUUUCCACCAUUAUAUUUGAACAUAUUUUAUCUGUUUGCACCUUGCCACCAACCGAAUUAAUCCUCAUGGGCGGCAUCAUUGCCUCUACUGAGAUGUUAUGCAAUUCUACCCAUGUUGCAGUGACAAAUGAAUGAGUUGCACCAGUAUCAAAUAGCACUUUCGCGGGAUGAGAUUCGACUGGGAACAUACCUACUGCCACAUCUGGUGCAUCCUGGAUUGCUUCGGCCUCCAAGUGGUUCACCUUUCCACGGUUGUACGCUUGGUUACGAUUGCCUGCUGCCGGCUGCAGUACACCUUGCCUUGUUGGAGCAUUGGGGUUGGUCUGCUGCUGAGCCAUCUUCUUUGGGCACUGCAUCGCCCAGUGGCCUUGAUCUCCACAGUGGAAACAUCCUCUGCCUCCUCCUUGUGCUGGGGCUGCUUGGUUGCUCUGAUUUGUUGCUGGGGCAGGAAGGCGAGGUGCCUGGUUGUUCUGCUUCUGAUACUGAUUACCUCCCUGCUGGCUGUGCGGACGAUACUGCUGCUGCUGCUGUGGGUACUGCCUCUGAAACUGCUGCUGAUGCGGACGCUGAUUCUGAUUCUGAUAUCCCUGUGGGUGACCAGGUCUGCCUUGCUGAGAUGAACUGCCUGAGAAACGUGGACGGCUGAUGCCUCCGGACUGGGGUCCACUCAUCUUGCGCUUCCGAUCUUCCAUAUCCUUACGCUUCUUCUCAGUCAUAACUGCCCUAUCGAUCAGGUGCUGGAAGGUUGGGAAGGUAUGAUUCAUCAGCUGGUAAUGCAGGGGAUCCACCAAACCUCUCAUGAACCUGUACUGCCUCUUAGCAUCAGUCUUGACAUCCUCGGGUGCAUAGCGAGAUAGCUGCAGAAACUUGUCUCUGUACUCACUAACAGACAUGGGUCCCUGCUUCAGAGCCAGAAACUCCUCCUUCUUCACGAUCAUCAGUCCCUCUAGCACAUGGUACCGACGGAAACUCUCGCUGAAUUCUUCCCAGGUGAUGGCUUCGGGGUCAGCAUGGGUGGCGAGGUAGGACUCCCACCAGGACUGGGCUGCUCCCCUCAGCUGACGAGGGCCAUAUAGAACCUUCUCCUUGUCGUUACAUUGGGCGGUGCGCAGCUCCCUUUCCACUACGCGCAGCCAGUCUUCUGCAUCCAUGGGGUCAGCAGAAUGGGCGAAGGUAGGAGGGUGCCCUCUCAUGAACUCACCACGCUUAUCUCGUGGCAUCUGGGGCAUCUGCACCUGCAAUUGGGGUUGGGGUUGCUGUUGAGCCUGCUGCAUGGCUGCCAGAGUCUGCCCAAUGGCCUGCACUGCCUGGGUCUGCAUCAAGAACAUCUGCUCCACUGACAUCGGGGGUGGUGGGGGAGGCUGCCUCUGUUGUUCCUCCUGCUGGUCAUGCUGCUCUUGCUGAGCACGCCUGUUGCAUCGGCGCCUGUUGUCAGACAUCUGUGGAAGACAUUCAUACAUCAGCAUUGAUCUUACAAUCCUUCAGCAUAAGAAAAGAGAAUACAGAAUUCUUCAUGACACUGAGUGAACAAAGAGCUUCACUGAUCCUCAUUCAUGAUUCAACACAGCUUCUCAGAUAAGAAGGAAAGUAAGAGUAAAGGGUUUCCCAACUAAACAACUGACUUCAUUAACAUUACUAGCUAAGCCAAACUGCAGGGGGAAACCCACAUGUUGGCCACAGUCAUUACAAAGAUUCGAAUCCAGCACAAGUUCAUCAUAACAAGCAUGAAAGCAACUGAUAAGCAAACUAAACUAAAUGGAAGCAACUGAUAAGCAAACUAAACUGACUACCUAAGACUGAGACAUCUGACUUAAGAAUUAUUACAAACUCCGACGCUAACGAUCUAAGGAUCCAGAUCUAUCCUGGUCUUACAGACAGGGGAACCAUAAGUGUGGUGACCACGUGGCGGUGAGCGGUAAGGGUGCUGAGUCCCAACAGGUGCGGGAGAACCACCCUCCUGGUGAUGGCGCUCUGCCAGCUCAGCACGCAACUCCGCAAUCUCCGUUCGAGCCCUGCUUAGCUCGUCCAGAGAGUGAUCCAGCUCAGUGUUAAGCACCGCGACUAGGUUGACUGUGCUGCUCAACCUAGGGUUAGCCUCACCAACAGGUGAGACAACCACACUCUCUGUGCUGCCAGUAGGGCGGCGGGGGUAGUACCGAAGGUUAAGACCGUCGGCCACGCCACCGAACAAAGAACAGUACUGGGAGAGUGCACGCCGUGCUGCAUCCUGCAUAGCCGCCUCUACAGUGUCCCUCUCGAAGAUGGAAUAGUGCUCCGAAACGGCCUCCGCACCCCGGAGGUCAUCCUCCGGACGGCGAACUAGGCAGGUAGCCUCCCAGCGGUCCGGGUACCUCCCGCGACUGUGCUGGUAGACUACACAACGAUACUCGAUCGACCAGGUGUGCCGGUCGAAAGCCUGGCGCAGCAAGGUGUCAAGUGCGUCGUGGAAGUGACAACCGCGAGCGGCGUCACGGGUGAUGGGUCGGGCAACCCAUCCUUCCGCCUCCUGCGGCUCAGAGGACUCCGUGCUGUGGUCUGAGUCGCCGUCGUCGGGGUCUCCUCCAGGACCUCCUCCAGUAGCUCCUCCAACAGCCGGAACGUCCCGCGGUGGUGCAGGGGGCGCCUCCAGCUGGGCAACAGAGGAACGGGGCCUCACGGACUCCCCCUCUUGCUGGGGUGGGGAGGAAGAGCCCUGCUGCUCUCUGUGCUGGCGCCGGCGUUCCUGCUCCUCACGCAGGCGGUGGUGCAGCCUCUCCAGGUGACUCGACUGACCGGACACGGUGCGGUGCAGAGGACGCUCCGCAAGUCGAGACGGCAGGAAAGGAAUCACCGACUUACGUGCAGUGUGUCUAAGACGAGCCAUCUACAAAAGACACCGUAAGCAUAAGAGUAAGAGCAGAACUAAUAUGACAAGUGAAUAAACCAUAGACAGAAUAAGAUAAAAAUUUUAACAAGAUAUAAUAUAGUAUAUAUAUGUAGUAAAACGUAGGGUUGGUCGAGGUGACCGACUUUUGAAGCAACAUCAGAGGUCAAGGUGAGAGGGGAGGUCAAUAGUCCUUAGUACGACCAGUGCUACUCUAGGUCAGCGGUCCUACAGUCAGCACGGCUUUGAUACCACUUAUGUCACACCCGGUUUUGGAAGGUAAACCGAAUGCGAACCAUGUACGUGCCAGGAUCAGAAAUUCACGUACAUGGCGAUUACAUAAAUGACUCAUCAUAGCACAAUGCUUCGAAUAACAAUAAAGAUAAGUAAUAAUAUGAAAGACUAGAGUCAUUUACAUAAUAUAAUCAAAGUACACAGAACAGAAACGUAGCCAACGUAAAUAAACCCACCACAGGCAGCUGACUGGGGGAGGUCGCUAGCCUAAUCCUCGAACUCGUCGAAGUCCUGGAACUCCUGGAGAUUCACCUCGACGCCUUCUUGUUUACCUGAGCAUAGAUUGCACCAAAGGCAACCUGGUGUUUUGUGAAAGCAAGGGUGAGUACACAUCAACGUACUCAACAAAUGUCCUGUUUGGCUGAGGUGGACUAGCUUUAUGUGGGGUUAAGCUCAAGCAGUUGCUUUUAGUUGGUCAGGUAUUUAUUAUCAGUGGAAGCCAAGUUUUAGUAAUAACCAACCUGUGAACCAUUUCCUCAUCGAGGAACAUCAUCAUCAUAGUCGAACCCAAAACCAUAAACAUAAUCCUUGUAUCUCGAACCAUCUGUAUCUCUAAUCAAAGAGGAUCCCAAGGCUGCUCUUAACCGUGAGCACGACUGAUAUAUCAGUUUCACUACCCUCUGCAGAGGUCGCACACUUUACCCAUGAGCCGUGAUUCCCGUUCUGCCCGGGGAGAGCUAAUCCCCAUUGACCACUACCUAGGUGGUCCGGCAGGGCAUCACUACGUAGCUUUUACAAAGAUUCCCUAGAGAUCAUAGCUGCCCGUUAGGUUUCUCCAGUUUGAUAAACACAGUACCCCUCCCCGCAGGAGAGUGACUAACAAAGAGCAAAACGAAAGAACCUCGGCACUCAGCCUCGGCAGAGCAAGCACUGUGCCUGGACCCCAUUGACGGCACGACGGCUAAGCAACUUGUAAUAUCCCAAAAAAAAUGUUGACCAAAAGUUAAUCUCUGGUGCAUGGAUGAGGUAAAGGGUUGUGGGCCAUUGGAUGCAAAGAUAGAAGUCAUCUGAGGCGUCAUUUCUUUCUCCCACAAAAACCCUAGGUGGCCACCCUUUUUUUUCCCUUCACCCCCCCCUCUUGGCCGCCACCCCCUUUUUCUCCCCCUUGGCUGGACGCCCCCUCCCCCUAUGGCAGCCAUCCUCCAUUGCUUCCUCCCCCAAGAUCUCCCCCUACGCAGCAAGGAUCGAGAAAAGGAGGGGCACGUUGAAUUGAAGAGGAAGAGAGGAUCAAGGAGAUGUUCUUCCCCAUCUCCUCUUGAAGAUUUCUUGGGGAAACCCUAGGUAUGGAUGAGAUCCUUGUUCCUCCCUGUAAUUAUAGGCUUUUGGAGGUUGUGGAUCAUGGGAAUUAAAGGAUUAGAGGUUGGAUUUGAUGUGGGGUUAGGUUUUGAUCUCGAAUUUAGUUUUCUGUAGAAUGGCAGAUUCGACAGCUUCUGUUCAUGCCAGUUUUCCGUGGUCUUAGUGGCCUCAAAAAAAUAAAAAGUCUAUGUAUGAGUCGUAGAUAAUUUGUAGAUCUUUCCGUGGCCGCGAAGAACACCUCAAUCGGACAUCCGACCAGAAAGUUAUUGCAGUUUUACUAUAGCAGUUUUUCAGUCUCAUAAUUCUGUGCAGAAUCUGUUCUCUUAAGAUUUAGGCAAUUUUAUCAACAGAAUUAAACUGUGGGUUGGUAAAAGAAGUUGUAGAUAAUUUUAUAAGCUUUCCAGAUUGUUAAAGAGUGCAUUCAUAUGAUUUGUGAAACUCCAGUUAUGUUUGUUUUACUGUGGCUGUUCCUGUUUACCUGACAAAAAUGAGUGGGUCUGUUCACUGGUGGGUUUCAUCUAGUAAAUGGCCGAAUUGGCUCUUCCAACUAUGGAGACUUUUGUAGAGGGAUAAAAGUUCUUACUUCCAGCAGAAUUUCAUAAUUUUUGGUUCAGCAGUUUUGGAGAUAUCGAAUUUUAAAGUUAACCAUACUGCUGUCUAAAACAGAUUCAGUCAGUUAUCUUGUCAGAUGUUUUAGAACUUGUAGAUGGCAGAAUUUAAUUAUCUAUUGAAUACUGAAGUUAUAGAGUAUUUUGUGUAGAUACUCCUAGAGUAUUUGUUUGAUAUCACCGCUGUUUUAAUUUUGAAGAUACAAAAUUAACAAACAGCGUUGCUGCUGUAUGGCAUGUGGUUCAGGGUGGGAGUCUUUCCACUGGGUCUUGGUUUCAAGUGUAGGAGUGUUUUGUUGAUUGAUGGCAAAUGUUUGUGAAAUAUUUGUACUAAGUUUUAUGCCCACUAGCAGGUGGCUACACUCCAGAUCAUGUCUAGUACAUUUCUUCUUCUUCGAUGAAGGCAAGUGAAUGUAGCGGUGGUUGCUUCCGUUCUGACCUGUUAUUUCUAUCGCCUACACUCUAAUAUUCAGAAGUAUCAGAUUCUUUCAUAAUUGGACUCUAUGGUGAUGCUUUACUUGCUUGCAUUAUACUGAUGCUCAAUCAUAUAUUGAUGAUGAUUAUGAUUUGAGUAUGACUCAUGAGAUUAAUUCACACCCCUGAAGGUAAAUGAAGUAUUAUUUGAGGUUGGUAUUGUAUCUGAAGGUAAAUGAAGUAUUAUUUGAGGUUUGUGUUGUAUCUGAAGGAAGUGAAGUUUAUUGAUAAAUGUAGCAUGCCAUAUACAUUGCAUGACUCAUUUGCAUAUGAAGUUUUGUCGUGACCUAUGGUCCGACCGUACCGGUACAACUUAGCAUCGUACGUUGCCCGAGAAGGGGUACGAUGCGGCUUCAUACCCUUAGAGGUAUGAAGGCAGAGGACAUAUGCAUUGCAUUCAUAUGCAUUCAUUGAAGUGAUAUUUGCAGAUGAUGUGGUUUUAUACCCCCAGAGGUAUGAAGAUAGAGUACCUACACAUUGCAUUCCUAUGCAUACAUUGAAGUGAUAUUUGCAGGUAUUGUUGACGCAGGGAAGUGUUAUAGAACCUAUUGUGGUUGUUCGAGGAAAUGAGAUGGUAUUGGUUAUAGUGGGACUACUGAGUUCUAUAUCUACAAGCAUUUCUGAUUUUUAAUUGUGACUCUUUUAAAAUGUUGAUGAAUUCAAUUUGUGGUUUAAAUAUCUCGUCAGAACAAUUAGCUUGCUGAGAUGUUUCAUCUCACUCUUGCAUUACGCAAUGCAGGUGCUUGUUGCUCAUCAAGGGGAGUGGGAAGUAGCAGCACAUCCACCUUCAUUCUCAUAAUAAUGCUGCCCAGACGCAGCCAUGAUUUAAUUAGAAACUUCUUGUCAAAGGAUGUUUGUUUUUAACUAGUCGUGCGCACUGAUUAAUUCAGUUCAUGUUGUUAUGGUUGUCUUCCCAUUGCUAGCAGAUUAUUAAUGUCUUAUAUGUUUUCUUAUCAUGAUAUCUAUUUAUACUUUGUUGCUUCCCCCAUUUAUGCAAUUUUCAAAGGAGAUGCUGUCGAAAUUUUAUAUAUGAAUAUUAGAUGUGUAGUUUAGUAGCAUUCUGGGGUGUUUGUGGAUCCCGGGGUGUUACAGUUGGUAUCAAAGCAUAGGCUUUAGAUUCUUGGCAAUUUGAAGAUAAAUUUGACACACUUGCACAUAUAGGAAGGGUAUGGGUUCAAAUAUCUUUGAUAUAUAUUAAUGUCUUUGGAGUGCAGAUGACAAUAGUUUCACCCCUCCCUAUUCCUUUACGGUGAUGUGGUAAGUUGUUUAUGGCUUAAUGCUUGAUAUAAUUUAUUUCUGAAAUUUUGAUAUUGUUUUAUUAAUGCGGUAGAUAUCGCUGGUCAUUGGUGAGAAUGAAGUUGUUAUUAUGCUUGUGAUAUACAAGUAUGCCUAUGUUGUUUUCACCAUGUUUUUCAUGGUUGAGUUUUAUUACAAUAAUAUUGUUAUAUAUGCUUGAUUGUGGAUGUUUCUAAGAGGAGUGUGAAUUGCGUGUUUUGGGGUACAAGGUAAUCAUCAAUUUGAAUUUAAGUUGUUGAGCGGUUGGUGGAUAGCUCCAACUAUCAUUGCAAAGAAUGAUUGUUUAUGUUGAGAAACCAGUUUUGAAAGAAAUGAAUAUUGGUACUUUAUAUGGAUUUUUGGGGGAAGUCUUUUCAUAGCCAGAAUGGCUUACAUGUCUCUCUCAUAUUGUGUGUUUUAGUUGCCACAAAGCCUAGAUGUGGUUUAAAGUGGUUGCCUGUUAGUCAUACUAAUUGUAGAAUAAAUCUUUGAUUCUUUUGAUCCAUUGAUUAUGUAUUGAUACAUUGAGGAUCUGAUGGUUCCCUUUUCGAUGCAUGCUUGUGGAGCCAUUUUUUUUAGACCACCUAUCUAUUGGUUUGAAGGAAGUCCUUGCCUAGCCUAGAGUUGGUUGGGUGUGGCUAGUCACCUAUUCCUAGAUCAUGUGGUGUUUACAUCAGCUUAAUAUGUUUGUCAAAUGUGUGAAGGAUUAGGGGUUAUUAUUAUUGACUUUGUAUGUCUGGUACUUUGAGUGCAUCGUAUGAUAGAAUGAAAUGUAAGUUUCUGAACUACAGUAGAUGAAGACUUAUAUUAUGUGUAGGUUAUCCUUACUAGUUGGAUAUUUUUCUUAGUUGAGAUGUUGAAUGAAGUAUAGUGACAUGGGUUAAGCAAGUAUUGUGUUGUUGUUGGGCUAUCAGUGCUCUAUGUAGAGUUUUUGGCAUUUCUUCGAUGAACUAUGCCGCACAAGAUGUUAUUGGCUUCUUUUGGCUUUAUUGCUCCAUUAGUUCUAUAGAUUUUCUCCCUUUUGGUGGGGUGCAAGGAAUGUUAGAUUACAUGAUUAUCUUUUCAUGAUGGCAAGAAUAAGGUUUAGGAAGAUUAGGAGUUUUGUUCCAAUAGAACUACUUGUUUCAUAGUGCUUUAAGGUGAGGUGUUUGAUCUUCUUAUACAUUCGUCGGGUGUAGAUGUUUCACCAUUUAAUUAAAAUUAAUGGUUGAAGUUGGUAAGGGUUGUGCUUGGUGCAUAUUACCCCUUCAUAAAAGAGUGUUGUCUUAAGACAUUGAUGUUGAUGUAUAGCUGCAUCCAAAUUUGAUGGUGUGAAAUUGGAGUGUUGAUUGCAACUAUGACAUGCUUUGAGCUUCAUUACAUGUUGUUUCAUGCUUGAUGUCAGGUCGUGUAGUUUCCUUAGACAAUUAGUCCAAGGUAGAAGUUCUUGUGUUAAUUAAGACCAAUAAUGGACCCAUGUUUUGAAUUGUGGUGCUAUAUGGGGUACCUUGGGUGUUUUGCUUGGAGUGGCCGAAUUCGAGGUCGAAUUCUUUUUAAGGGGGGUAGAGUGUAAUAUCCCAAAAUAAAUGUUGACCAAAAGUUAAUCUCUGGUGCAUGGAUGAGGUAAAGGGUUGUGGGCCAUUGGAUGCAAAGAUAGAAGUCAUCUGAGGCGUCAUUUCUUUCUCCCACAAAAACCCUAGGUGGCCACCUUUUUUUUCCCUUCACCCCCCCCUCUUGGCCGCCACCCCCUUUUUCUCCCCCUUGGCUGGACGCCCCCUCCCCCUAUGGCAGCCAUCCUCCAUUGCUUCCUCCCCCAAGAUCUCCCCCUACGCAGCAAGGAUCGAGAAAAGGAGGGGCACGUUGAAUUGAAGAGGAAGAGAGGAUCAAGGAGAUGUUCUUCCCCAUCUCCUCUUGAAGAUUUCUUGGGGAAACCCUAGGUAUGGAUGAGAUCCUUGUUCCUCCCUGUAAUUAUAGGCUUUUGGAGGUUGUGGAUCAUGGGAAUUAAAGGAUUAGAGGUUGGAUUUGAUGUGGGGUUAGGUUUUGAUCUCGAAUUUAGUUUUCUGCAGAAUGGCAGAUUCGACAGUUUCUGUUCAUGCCAGUUUUCCGUGGUCUUAGUGGCCUCAAAAAAAUAAAAAGUCUAUGUAUGAGUCGUAGAUAAUUUGUAGAUCUUUCUGUGGCCGCAAAGAACACCUCAAUCGGACAUCCGACCAGAAAGUUAUUGCAGUUUUACUAUAGCAGUUUUUCAGUCUCAUAAUUCUGUGCAGAAUCUGUUCUCUUAAGAUUUAGGCAAUUUUAUCAACAGAAUUAAACUGUGGGUUGGUAAAAGAAGUUGUAGAUAAUUUUAUAAGCUUUCCAGAUUGUUAAAGAGUGCAUUCAUAUGAUUUGUGAAACUCCAGUUAUGUUUGUUUUACUGUGGCUGUUCCUGUUUACCUGACAAAAAUGAGUGGGUCUGUUCACUGGUGGGUUUCAUCUAGUAAAUGGCCGAAUUGGCUCUUCCAACUAUGGAGACUUUUGUAGAGGGAUAAAAGUUCUUACUUCCAGCAGAAUUUCAUAAUUUUUGGUUCAGCAGUUUUGGAGAUAUCGAAUUUUAAAGUUAACCAUACUGCUGUCUAAAACAGAUUCAGUCAGUUAUCUUGUCAGAUGUUUUAGAACUUGUAGAUGGCAGAAUUUAAUUAUCUAUUGAAUACUGAAGUUAUAGAGUAUUUUGUGUAGAUACUCCUAGAGUAUUUGUUUGAUAUCACCGCUGUUUUAAUUUUGAAGAUACAAAAUUAACAAACAGCGUUGCUGCUGUAUGGCAUGUGGUUCAGGGUGGGAGUCUUUCCACUGGGUCUUGGUUUCAAGUGUAGGAGUGUUUUGUUGAUUGAUGGCAAAUGUUUGUGAAAUAUUUGUACUAAGUUUUAUGCCCACUAGCAGGUGGCUACACUCCAGAUCAUGUCUAGUACAUUUCUUCUUCUUCGAUGAAGGCAAGUGAAUGUAGCGGUGGUUGCUUCCGUUCUGACCUGUUAUUUCUAUCGCCUACACUCUAAUAUUCAGAAGUAUCAGAUUCUUUCAUAAUUGGACUCUAUGGUGAUGCUUUACUUGCUUGCAUUAUACUGAUGCUCAAUCAUAUAUUGAUGAUGAUUAUGAUUUGAGUAUGACUCAUGAGAUUAAUUCACACCCCUGAAGGUAAAUGAAGUAUUAUUUGAGGUUGGUAUUGUAUCUGAAGGUAAAUGAAGUAUUAUUUGAGGUUUGUGUUGUAUCUGAAGGAAGUGAAGUUUAUUGAUAAAUGUAGCAUGCCAUAUACAUUGCAUGACUCAUUUGCAUAUGAAGUUUUGUCGUGACCUAUGGUCCGACCGUACCGGUACAACUUAGCAUCGUACGUUGCCCGAGAAGGGGUACGAUGCGGCUUCAUACCCUUAGAGGUAUGAAGGCAGAGGACAUAUGCAUUGCAUUCAUAUGCAUUCAUUGAAGUGAUAUUUGCAGAUGAUGUGGUUUUAUACCCCCAGAGGUAUGAAGAUAGAGUACCUACACAUUGCAUUCCUAUGCAUACAUUGAAGUGAUAUUUGCAGGUAUUGUUGACGCAGGGAAGUGUUAUAGAACCUAUUGUGGUUGUUCGAGGAAAUGAGAUGGUAUUGGUUAUAGUGGGACUACUGAGUUCUAUAUCUACAAGCAUUUCUGAUUUUUAAUUGUGACUCUUUUAAAAUGUUGAUGAAUUCAAUUUGUGGUUUAAAUAUCUCGUCAGAACAAUUAGCUUGCUGAGAUGUUUCAUCUCACUCUUGCAUUACGCAAUGCAGGUGCUUGUUGCUCAUCAAGGGGAGUGGGAAGUAGCAGCACAUCCACCUUCAUUCUCAUAAUAAUGCUGCCCAGACGCAGCCAUGAUUUAAUUAGAAACUUCUUGUCAAAGGAUGUUUGUUUUUAACUAGUCGUGCGCACUGAUUAAUUCAGUUCAUGUUGUUAUGGUUGUCUUCCCAUUGCUAGCAGAUUAUUAAUGUCUUAUAUGUUUUCUUAUCAUGAUAUCUAUUUAUACUUUGUUGCUUCCCCCAUUUAUGCAAUUUUCAAAGGAGAUGCUGUCGAAAUUUUAUAUAUGAAUAUUAGAUGUGUAGUUUAGUAGCAUUCUGGGGUGUUUGUGGAUCCCGGGGUGUUACACAACUACACCUCCAGUUCCUCCAAUUAAUCAGCUAAGGGCAUCCCAUUUCACCCUCAUGGUUGCACUGUUAUCCCGGGUGGUCUCUCAACGAACAGGUCCUUACGGAGAGGUACUCAGGAAACAGCCUGAGCCCCCUAGAGUAUCACAAGAUCAUCAACAUCAUCAGGAUAACAGUAUCAUAGAUAGUCACAUCAUGUUCAUUGAUUAAGUUAAGGCAAAAGCAGAGUGCUAACCAUAACAACCCAAUAGGUCAUCAAGGACAAAGUAAAGUGUAAAGCUAGUCAAUCCUUAGGUUUCAAGUAAGUAGUGCGGGGUAGUAAGUUAUAAAUGAAUAGGACAUAAUGGGACAGAGGACACUUGCCUUCACCCAACUGCUGAUCAGGGACUUCCUCUGCAACUUCCUCGGGAAACACAGACUGCUCGUUGUCUACGUAAAGUAAUCAUUCACACUAUGCACUUGGGAAGAUAACAAACAAAAAGCAACAUACCAAACAUAUGCAGCAGAGAGAUCACAAGUUCAUAGUUGAAAAGGGAUAGGCACUCUGGUGUUCCCUAGGUCUGGGGUAGAGGACUAUACAAAGUGAUUUAUUAUCCACUAAUCAGGUUUAAGUCAGUGGAGGGAUUAAAUCAUUACAUGGUUUUAAGUUCCUAAACUUAGGUGUUUAAGUCCAUAAACUUAAGUAUUCUAACUUUCAUUAAAGUCUACCAACUUCUAAUUAUCUCAAAUAGGGUUCCAAUAGCCUUAAUCCUAUCCUAGUGAUUAACUAUUAAUUGGUACAUGGAAACAGUAGGAAAACAUUGUUUAAAUAGAUAGACAAAAACAUCAUGAGCAUUUUGCAAUUUGAAGCACCUCAUUUGGAGUUCAUAUGACAAAGUUAUGGAUUUUACAAGUUUAGGGGUUAAAAAUAUACCCUAAAUACCUAUUUUGAAUUAAAUAAAUGUCCCAGGGACCUAACCGAGAGAAACCAGGGACGGCGGGUUCAAAUUCCAUAAAACCGGGGGUCUCUUUAAGAAAACGCGCGGGCGAAGGGGUAUCGGGCUACUACGACCGUCAGAUCUAAAGCGAACGGCCAGGAUUAGAUCCUGCGGGCGGGCGCGCGAGCGCGCGGCGGCCUGGGCGGCUGACAGGCGGGACCGGGCGGGCAGCGCGGGGCGCGGGCAGGCUGACAGGCGGGGCCCAAACGGCAGGGGGACGGGGUGUGGGGGAAGCGGGCCUGGGCCGCUGGAUCUCCGGCGGACGGCCAGGAUUAGGCUUGACCUAAUUAAAACGGGACCGCCCGAUCUGGGACGGACGGUGGGGAUCGGGUGGCCGGCCUGGGCUUCUCCUACGGCUAGCUGGGGCGGCGGCGCUCGUCCCCGCGGCGGAGGACUCGCCGGAGACGAGGGGCGCGGGCGUUUGGCGGGUCUCUGGGGCGAACUGAGUGGUCGGGAAGGUUGGGGAGGGCACGGGGAGUCCUCUGGUGGGGUCUGGGUCGGGGCAGGGGCACCGGAGGGGGGCGGCCCACGGCGGAGCGGCUCGGCGGCGGCAUAAAUCUACUCCGGCGAGGAAUUACACAUGGCAGAAGGCAAUACACGGGUCGAUAGGGGCGGGAGAGGUUCUUUACCUCAAGGCGGGCUCCGGGGAUUCCUCGGUGGCGGCAAUGGCGCGACGGUGGCCCGGGGCGGCGGUGGCGGACCUCCGCGGCUGCACGGGGAACGGCGGGUGAGCGCGGGCAGAGAGAAAUAGGGAGGGGGAGAGGGAAUUGGGGCGCAUCCCGGGUUGCGGACGCCGGGGCGAAGCUCACCGUGGCAACGGACACGGCGGAGCUCCAACGGCGGCCGGGAAAUGAGCUCGGGACGGCGGGGAUUUGUGGCGGCGGUGCUCUGGCGUGCGCGCAGCGAGGGAGAGGUGGAAGAGGGGUCUGCUGGAGCGCAAAUGGGGGAGGGGGAGAGGGCGAGUGGGGCUCGGGGCUCAAGUGGCCAGGGGCGGGGCGGUUGCGAGCUCCACGCGCGACGUGGGCGCGGAGAAGGCGGCCGCGCGCAGCUCGGGCGGCGGUUACGCGAGGACGACGGGGCUGACAAGCCGGGCCCGCGAGCAGAGAGAGAGGGGAGAGCGGGGGCGGCCGCGCGGAAAGCGGCCGCGCUGACGGGCGGGCCCGCCAGGGCAGAGAGAGCGGGGGGGGGGGGGGGGAGAGGGCGCGCGCGCGGGAUGGGCCUGGCUGGGCCGAAAGGCUGAGGGGGCGGCGGGGUUGGGCUUCUUUCCUCUUUUCUUUUAUUCUGGAAUUGUUUUCUCUUUUCUUUUUAUUUUCUCUAUUUGAUUCAAAUCCAAAUAAGCCACAAAUUCAAAUUAGACUUUCCAAGAAUUAUGCACCAAGCAAAAGUGAAAUCUAGGGUUCAACAUGAUGCAGCAAUUCAUACUCCCUUAGGGUUUAACCUAUUAAACUAUAAUUACAAAUAAAAUAAGCACUUUUCUCCUAUAGAAAUGAGAAAGAAAAGAAUGAGGAAGGAUGAGAAAAGGGAAGUAACACCUGAAUUUGUGAAUAUGAGCAAAGAAAUUUUAUACCCCCAAAUUCAGGGUGUUACACAAGGGGAGGGGGCACAUGCAUGGGGGAGGGGCAGGGGCGCUAGGGGCGUGCGGGCCAGGGCUGGGCCGGGCUGGGUCGCGUCACGGGGCCAAAAACCCAUGACACGCACAACCACCAAUCGAAAUCCGAUCGCGAACCGAAAUCCGAAACGAGACGAGACUAACACGCGAUUAAACACAACAUCAGACAAGAGAAAUAUGCUUUGGCAUGAUGCAACACUCAUGUCAACUUAGGUUUUUGUUUACACACGAUAUGGACACCAGUCGCUAUAUUGCUUUGAAAUUGGGAAGAAGGAGCAAAACGGGAAGAGAAAAGAGAGUAACGCCUGAAUUUGGUGAGUAAAAAGAAGAAAAAAUCCUACCCCCCAAAUUUAGGGCAUUACAGCCCUCUUAUAAAUAAUCGCUCCCUCGAGCGGUUUUGUGGCGCCUUGCUUUUACCUUCUUCGGGUGAUUCCUCCGUGACCCCUUAUGGACUCAGGCAAGCAUCUGGCAAAAGAGCGCCACCGAUGUUGUGCCCUCUCCAUCAAAAAGAUGAUUGACUCAGGGCAAGUGCUCUUCCUUGUCUUGUCCCUAGAUUCUCGUGAUGGUGUUUGUCUCAUUUUUUCCUUGCAUAGCCAAGUGAUGUCGAUGGGGCAGGUGAAAGACUUCGGGAUGUCCUUCAGCCAGGGUGGGAUGUCGACCCUUUUGUCGCAGACCUCCUCAGACCUCCAAGAGAGCCUGACCACCACCAACACUGCGCUCGAGGUUGCUGAUGGCAAGGUGGCCAAUCUCCGUGUUCGCCUGGAGGAGGUAGACCAUUGUGUCAUGGGUAGGUGGUGUCAAGGCGGACUCCAUUUUUGUUUUGUCUUACUCCUCUCUCUCUCUCUGAUUGUCCUAUGCCAUUUUCAGAGUUAGAGCUAGAGGUUGUCGAUUGCCGGUGUUUGUGACCUGACUGCGCACCACAGGGUUACCCACAUGAUGCCUUUGAGUAGGAUGGUGUCAUUGACUGUGACUCGAUGGUACGUGCGGGAUCACAUCGGUAUUGCACAGAGGUUUUUAUAGGUUUGGGCCACUUUGCAAUGCGUAACACCCUACUUCCUGUUGUGGCUGUGUAUUUGGUUUUUCUAGAGUAUGAAGAUUACAAGUGAGCUUUGUGGGUGCUCAGGUGAGAUGGGGUAAGAUGAGAUGAUUUUGUAGGGGUCCCCCUCGACCUUAUAUACACGACCAGAGAGUUAUCCCAUUACAAAUUGUGAUCACUAUCUAUUAUACUUAUCUCCUUAUUUGCCAUGGCUUGUAGCCCUACAUAUCUGGAGCUUUGAUCACCUUCUCGUUCAAGUCAUCGCCGAAUGCUUAGCUCUUAAGGUGCUCGCAACUGCAUCGCCCAAGAUAUCAGUGCUUCGGUAGCGCAUAACUCAGAUGCCGAUCUAUGUCCUCUUGGGUUAGAUUCACACAACCUAAUUAUAAAUUGCCAGCCCAUCCCGCUGGAUGUACCAGUGGGUGGCCCAUCAGGCAGCCCAUGAUAUGUUUUAGUGUUCGUGAGGACCCGAGGGAUAUCUAUCUCCCACAAGCCCCCCGAGGCUCAAGCCAACUUUUGAGAGUAGUUUGCUCGAGACUCUAAGGAGUAAUGACACCCUUUGUUUCUUCCAAGCUUUUUUAAGGCAAUUUUGUUCCAUCUCUGUAUCAAUUGGGUGCACUGUAGGUGCACCCAAUGGGUGUAGGUAUCAAUCAACUCAAUGGUCUUCAUAGUCCGCUUUUGAGUUCAGCGUUUGCUUCAUCCUUGUGUCCAUUAGGUGCACCGACCCAAUGGGUGUAGCCCUCGAGCUUUGAAUUGAUUUGAGUAUCAAUCAACUCAAAGGUAUUUAUAAUUUGCUUUUGAGUGCAGCGUUUUCUUUUGUCCUUGUAUCAAUUGGGUGCACCGCAGAGUAUCAAUCAACUCAAAGGUCUUCACAAUCUGCCUUAGAAAAUUAUGGUUUACUAUGAUAAUCGUGCCCGACUGAGAUUUGCCCCACUGAGCAUGCGCUGGCUGAGAUCUAGCCGAUUGAGACCUGACCGACUAAGUUCGAGCUGAUAGAAGUCCGACUGGACGGCAAUCAGUCAGGGCUUUUAAUCUGACCGCUCACUGGGUUCCAACCGGUAGAAGUUCGGCUGACUCUAGUUUGACCGAUCUUGAGUUUGUCGUUUUGUAACUUCUAUGGAUAUCUCAUGGAUCAGGCUGUUUUAGAAAAUCCCAAAAAAAUCUGGCCUGUACACCCAAUGGGUGUACCUAAUGGUUGUGUAUAUUGUCUUGUCUCAAAAUAGUAACCUGACGUGAUAGGGGGUAGUAAUGCGCCUGAGCGAUUGGUAUUACUCUUCCCCAGUGUCGUGUUAUGCCAAUGGGUGUCAGUGACUUGCUCAUUUUCUAAGAAAUUUACACGGCUAUUGAAGUCUUUGUGACUGUUCGCUGUACGGAUGGGAGCCAAAGGGUUGUCCCUUGGACUCUUUAAAUAUACCGCUCGCCUGCGACCGUCUUCUUCACUUGCUCUGGUUUCUCUUCUCGCUCUCACUUCUCCACUGAAAAUCACAAUGGCUAGGAGCAAAGGUAGCAAGGGCAUGAGUGGUAGGAAAGACUAGAGUGGGAAGCAAUAACGUCCUCUGACUCCCCCUUCGGAGGACUUCGGUGACUCCGAGUUCUCGGAGGAGCAGUUCUCCUCCGAGGGCGAGGAGUCUCCACCGCUGGUUCCCCUCUCACCGUCGUCCGAGGGCCUGAUUGACUCGAUGGGGCUCUCUGCGGCGGAGAGGGCCUAUGUAUGAUCCAUCGAGCGGGCAGGGCUCGAAGGAACAGAUGACUCGAACGAGGAUGACUCUGAGGAGGAAUUCAAGGAGGAGGGCGACGGUGGUGAGGACAGGAGCGGCUAUGACAGCGGUGACGAGAGUGACAACAGUGGCAAUGGCGGCGGCAGAGGCGAUGGCGGCGACGACAGCGGCUACGACGAUGAUAAGGGCGGCAACGGAAAGGGCGAUGGUCACGGCAAUGGUAGGGGCGGCAGGGUGCCAUCGCGGGUAAGUAUUAGUAUAGUGUAGCGGUAGGUAGUAGUAGCAGAAAGAAUGGAAAUGGAAUAGGAUGGCGUGUUAUGCUAGGACCAAAACAAAAUUUGAACACUGACUUGUUUCAACAAUUCCUGUUGACUCGGAUGAAUUUAAAGUUGGUUCAAAUUGGGUUGGAAAGCUUAUCUCCUUAGCUUUCCAUCCAUAUAAAGCUCAACCUAAUCGGAGUUCGGAUGCAUCCUGGGCAUCCAUUUUAGUGCAGACUGGUCUUAGACUCCGAGGUGGAGAUGAAGUUGAGUCAGACUUCGCUUUCUCUUGUUGUGAACUGAGAGCCCCUAGAGGGGGUGAAUAGGUGAUCCUAUAAAAUUCAAUGCUAAAUAGUACAAACUUGGCUUAAAGACGUUAGUGCAAUUAAAACCAAGUUGCUAAAGUGAGAACUCUAGAAGAAAAACAAUCACAAUGAAUAGGAACACGAGACACAGUGAUUUUUAUCCUGUGGUUUGGCCAAAGCCUACUCCACGUUGUGGUGACCUCCCUCGGUCAAGGAUUGCACUCAAUCCCUCUCAAGUGAUCCAAUGAUCAACUUUGAGUACCACGAUUUCCUUCCUUUGUAGUCUUUUCCCGUUUGCGAGGAAUCUCCACAAAUUGGAGCCUCUCGUCCUUACAAUCUUUGAUCACAGGAGAAGCACAAGAGUAAGGAAGGGAAAGCAACACACGCAAGACUCAAUUCGCAACAACCACACACACAAGCCAAGACGUGAGCACAAAACACGACGCAAGGAGUUCACAACUCAAAUGGUGCUCAAAUCUCUAACACAAUGAUCCGAAUGCGUGGCAGCGGAGUCUAGGUGUCUUAGAAUGAUCAGAGAAUGCUUGGUGUUGUGCUCCAUGCGCCUAGGGGUCCCUUUUAUAGCCCCAAGGCAGCUAAAGUUCCAAUUGGAAGGCAAUUCUUGCCUUCUGUCGGGUGGCGCACCGGACAGUCCGGUGCACCACAAGACAUGAACAGUAGCUGCCCGGUGCCCAAUCUCCUUCCUUAUCAGGUGCAGCCGACCGAUGGACCUCUGGUCCUGUUGGCGCACCGGAAAUUGUUCGGUGCACACCGGACAGUCCGGUGUGACCAACCGAUCUUUGGCACGGGACACGCGUCGCCCGCUGAUGCGUUGCCGACCGUUGGUCGUGGGCGCCGUUGACUCACCGGACAGUCCGGUGCGCACCGGACAGUCCAGUGAUUUUUAGCCAUGGCGCCUUCGCUUUUUCCCGAGAGCGACGAGUUCGUCGCCGGGCCAGCCUGGGCACCGGACACUGUCCGAUGCACCACAGGCUGGUGCUGGUUUGGCUGAACACAACCAAUUUUUCUUCAAUUCAAUUCCUUUUGACUUGGCAAGAUUCCUGGCACUUAGAUAAAUAUAUUAGUACCCAAAAACAAUUUACUAAGGACGGAUACAUACCUUGUUCUUUGAUUUGCAUCUUAGCACUUAUGAACCAACAUAUUUUGUGUUGGGCAUUUAAUCACCAAAACAUUUAUAGAAAUGGCCCAAGGGCACAUUUUCCUUUCAAUCUCCCCCUUUUUGGUGAUUUAUGCCAACACAUUAAAAAGCAACUAAAGAGUGCAAAUUGAAGACCAAUUUUUCUUCACUUGGCAUAUUUGGAUCACUUUUGCACCACUUGGUUUGUUUUCGCAAAUCAAAUUCUUUUUCCUAUCUCUAAGUCAAACACACUUGUUUGGGCAAAUAGGGAGAUGUUUGAAGAGUAAUUCUUAUCAAGUGGCAAAAACUCCCCCUUUUCCCAUAAUCAAAAUUCUCCCCCAUAAUAGACCAAAUUUUGCAAUAAGAGUAUUUUGGACAAAAUACAAAAUGUAACUCUACUAUUUUCAAAGUUCACAAGUGGUUGGCUGAUCCAUUUGCUUUGGCCUUAAUUUUCUCCCCUUCGGCAUGAAGCACCAAAACAGGAUAACUUUUGGCCCUUUAACCCCAUUGCCUCGCCAAAAUGUCAAAUUGAAGCGAAAAGGCUAUGAGAACGCAAAGAGUAACGUAGGACAAGAUACAUUUUACCGGAAUGCAGUGGAAGCUCUUUCCUUGUCCAAGUUCACUUUCCCUUUCAAUGUUCCUUCGAGACUACUUCAAGUGCACUCAAACAAACAUGUUAGUCUCAAAGGAGUCAAGUUGUAGCACAUCUCCCCCUAAACAUGUGCAUUAUUUGCAUAGGGACUUGUGAGGUCCGGGAAUGACUUGUACAACUUGAGCACCAAAUAUAAGCAAAUGAGAUAGUAAAGCUAACAUUAACAUGAUCAAAGGCAUAAAACACAUGUUUGCCAAAUGUAUUUCUAUGUGCUUAGUGCGGCUAUGUUCAACAGGAUUAUCUGCCAAGCGGAUUGCACUCUCAUUGUCACAUAGGAGUGGGACUUUGCUCAGAUUGUAGCCAAAGUCCCAGAGGGUUUGCCUCAUCCAAAGCAGUUGCGCGCAACACUGUCCUGCGGCAACGUACUCGGCCUAAGCGGUGGAUAGGGCAACAUAUGUUUGUUUCUUGGAGCUCCAGGACACCAGGGACCAUCCUAGAAACUGGCACGUCCCUGAUGUGCUCUUCCUAUCAACCUCGCACCCGACAUAAUCGAAAUCUGAGUAUCUGAUUAAGUCAAAGGUAGACCCCUUUGGAUACCAGAUCCCGAAGCACGACAUAGAAAUUAAAUAUCUAAGAAUUCGCUUAACGGUCACAAGGUGACACUCCAUGGGGUCGGAUUGAAAUCUAGCACACAUGCAUACACUAAGCAUAAUGUCCGGUCUACUAGCACAAAGAUAAAGUAAUGAACCUAUCAUUGACCAGUAUGCCUUUUGAUCAAUGUACUUACCUCUUUUGUUGAGGUCUAGAUGUCCUUCAGUUCCCAUCGGUGUCUUUGCGGGCUUAGCAUCCUUCAUCCCAAACCUCUUGAGAAGAUCUUGAGUGUACUUCGUUUGAGAGAUGAAAGUGCCUUCCUUGAGUUGCUUCACUUGGAAUCCAAGUAAGUAGUUCAACUCGUCCAUCAUCAACAUCUCAAACUUUUGCAUCAUUACCCUGCUAAACUCCUCACAAGACUUUUGAUUAGUAGAACCAAAUAUUAUGUCAUCGACAUAUAUUUGGCAAACAAAAAGAUCACCAUCACAAGUCUUUGUGAAUAGAGUGGGAUCAGCUUUCCCAACCUUGAAAGCAUUAGCAAUUAAAAAAUAUCUAAGACAUUCAUACCAUGCUCUUGGGGCUUGCUUAAGUCCAUAGAGUGCCUUAGAGAGCUUGUACACAUGGUCGGGAUACCUGUCAUCCUCAAAGCCAGGGGUCACGUCCAUUUGGAACAACUUAAAGGAAUGGUGAGCGGCAUAGGCUAAUAAAAUUCGAAUUGAUUCUAAUCUAGCCACAGGAGCGAAAGUCUCCUCAAAGUCCAAACCUGCGACUUGGGCGUAACCUUUUGCCACAAGUCGAGCCUUGUUUCUUGUCACCACCCCGUGUUCGUCUUGCUUGUUGCGGAACACCCACUUGGUUCCCACAACAUUUUGCUUUGGACGUGGCACCAGGCUCCAGACUUUAUUUCUUUUGAAGUUGUUGAGCUCUUCCUGCAUGGCCAAUACCCAGUCUGGAUCUUGCAAGGCUUCUUCUACCUGAAAGGAUCAAUAGAAGAAACAAAAGAGUAAUGCUCAAUGAGAGCACCUAGAGGGGGGGGUGAAUAGGUGAUCCUGUAAAAUUCAACACUAAUAGCCACAAAACUUUGUUAUGUAAGUUAGAAUGGCUAAGUAGCUUGAAGCGAGUUCUUGUGAACACAAAUAAUCAAAGGUAAAGCACACAAGAGACACGUGAUUUUUAUCCCGUGGUUCGGCCAAGUAAUACUUGCCUACUUCCACGUUGUGGCGUCCCAAUGGAUGAGGGUUGCACUCAACCCCUUUCAAGUGAUCCAAUGAUCAACUUGAAUACCAUGGUUUUUCCUUUCUUUGUCUUUCUCCCAUUUGCGAGGAAUCUCCACAACUUGGAGCCUCUCGCCCUUACAAUGAUGAUCACAAAAGAUGUACGGAAGUAAGGGAGGGGAGAGCAACACACACAAGACUCAAAUCACAACACAAUCACGCACACAAGUCACAACUUGAGCUCAAAACACAACCCACGGAGUUCACAACUCAAAUGGAGCUCAAGUCACUAUCUCAAAGAAUCAAAUGCGCGAAGUUGGAGUCUUGGAGGCUUAGAAUGUUUCUUGAAUGCUUGGGUAGCUCCUCCAUGCGUCUAGGGGUCCCUUUUAUAGCCCUAAGGCAGCUAGGAGCCGUUGGAGGCCAACAAGGAAGGCUAUCCUUGCCUUCUGUCGGGUGGCGCACCACCGGACAAUCACUGUAGACGGUCCGGUGCCGAUCUCCUUCCUAUUCUGGCGCAGACGACCAUUGCAGAUUCAUGGCAGUUGGCGCACCGGACACUGUCCGGUGCACACCGGACAGUCCGGUGCCUCCUGCCGACCAUAGGUGCGGGCCACGCGUCGCCCGCGGAUUGCGCGGCCGACCGUUGCGAUGGCGACUAUUGGCUCACCGGACAGUCCAGUGCACCACCGGACAGUCCGGUGAAUUAUAGUCGCACGCCGCCAAUUUUUCCUGAGAGUGGCAUGUUCACCGGAAGCCAGCCUGGCGCACCGGACACUGUCCGGUGCACCACCGAACACUGUCCGGUGCACCACCGGACAGUCCGGUGUGCCAGAAUGAGCUGGACUUCGGCUGUACACAACCAAGUCACUUGCAAUCCAUUUCUUAUUUUCUUUUCUCUGUUUCUAGCACUUACACAAAAUAUGUUAGUACUCAAAAUAAUAUACUAUGUCUAGAAACGUACCUUGUUACAUGAUUUGCACUUUUUGCUUGUUUGGCACAUAAUAUCUCACUCACUAUGUGUUGGACACUUAAUCACCAAAACAUUAUAAAAAUGGCCCAAGGGCACAUUUCCCUUUCAAUCUCCCCCUUUUUGGUGAUUUAUGCCAACACAUCAAAAAGCAAUGCAAAACAUGCAACAUCGAUUCAAAUUGAAGACCAAAUUGUCUUUGACUCUAAUUUGGCAUAUUUGGAUCAUUCUUUGCCACCACUUGGUUUGUUUUUGCAAAUCAAAUUCAUUUUCCUAUCUCUAAGUCAACCACACUUGUUUAGGCACAAAGAGAGAUAUUCCAAUGGAAAAAUUGAUCAAGUACCAAAAACUCCCUCUUUUUGCCAUAAUAAAAAAUUCUCCCCCACAAGAGGCCAAAUUUUGCAAUAAGAGUAUUUUGGACAAAUCAAAAACCUAACUCUACUAUUUUCAAAAUUCUCAAGUGGUAGUUGAUCCAUGUGCUUUGGCCUUAAUUUCCCCCCUUUGGCAUUAAGCACCAAAACGAGAUCAUUUUUGGCCCUUGAACCCCAUUGCCUCACCAAAAAUGUCAAUUAAGAGCAAAAAGACAACUAGAGCAUAAGAAUGAACUUGGAGGUGAGUACACUAAUACCGGAGUGCAGUGGAAGUCUUUGCAUGGUCCAAGUUCACCUUUCCCUUUCAAUUCACCUUUGAGACUACAUCAAGUACACUUAAACACAAAGGUUAGUCUCAAAGGGUCAAGUUGUAGCACAUCUCCCCCUAAAUAUGUGCAUCAUUCACACAUGGACUUGUGAGGUCCGGGGAUCCCUUGCACAACUUUAGCACCAUAAAUAAGCAACAAAUUGCAUAAAUGUAUAUGUAACAUGAUCAAAGGCAUAAAACACAUGUAUGCUGUAAAUCAAUCCAAGUUACGUGAAUCUAAGACAUUUAGCUCACUACGCAACCUGCAAAAGGUCUUCUCAUCUAAUGGCUUGGUAAAGAUAUCGGCUAGCUGGUUCUCGGUGCUAAUAUGGAAAACCUCGAUAUCUCCCUUUUGCUGGUGGUCUCUCAGAAAGUGAUGCUGGAUGUCUAUGUGCUUAGUGCGGCUGUGUUCAACAGGAUUAUCCGCCAUGCAGAUUGCACUCUCAUUGUCACAUAGGAGUGGGACUUUGCUCAGAUUGUAGCCAAAGUCCCAGAGGGUUUGCCACAUCCAAAGUAGUUGCGCGCAACACUAUCCUGCGACAACAUACUCGGCCUCUGCGGUGGAUAGGGCAACAGAGGUUUGUUUCUUUGAACUCCAAGACACCAGGGACCUUCCUAGGAAUUGGCACGUUCCUGAUGUACUCUUCCUAUCAACCUUGCAUCCAGCAUAAUCGGAGUCUGAAUAUCCAAUUAAGUCAAAGGUAGACCCCUUUGGAUACCAGAUCCCAAAGCAAGGCGUAGAAACUAAAUAUCUAAGAAUCCGCUUAACGGCCACAAGGUGACAUUCCCUUGGGUCAGAUUGAUAUCUAGCACACAUGCAUACGCUAAGAAUAAUAUCCAGUCUACUAGCACAUAAAUAAAGUAAUGAACCUAUCAUAGACCGGUAUGCCUUUUGAUCAACGGACUUACCUCCUUUGUUGAGGUCGACAUGCCCGUCGGUUCCCAUCGGUGUCUUCGUGGGCUUGGCAUCCUUCAUCCCAAACCGCUUGAGAAGAUCUUGAGUGUACUUCGUUUGGGAGAUGAAGGUGCCGUCCUUUAGUUGCUUCACUUGGAACCCAAGGAAGUAGUUCAACUCGCCCAUCAUCGACAUCUCAAACUUUUGAGUCGUCACCCUGCUAAACUCCUCACAAGACUUUUUAUUAGUAGAACCAAAUAUUAUGUCAUCGACAUAAAUUUGGCAAACAAAAAGGUCACCAUUACAAGUCUUAGUGAAAAGAGUGGGAUCAGCUUUCCCAACCUUGAAAGCAUUAGCAAUUAAGAAAUCUCUAAGGCAUUCAUACCAUGCUCUUGGGGCUUGCUUAAGUCCAUAGAGCACCUUAGAGAGCUUAAACACAUGGUCGGGGUACCUGUCAUCCUCAAAGCCAGGGGGUUGUUCUACGUACACCUCCUCCUUUAUUGGCCCAUUGAGGAAAGCGCUCUUCACAUCCAUUUGAAACAACCUGAAAGAGUGGUGAGCGACAUAGGCUAAUAAUAUUCUAAUAGACUGUAGCCUAGCCACAGGAGCAAAGGUCUCCUCGAAAUCCAAACCUGCAACUUGGGCAUAACCUUUUGCCACAAGUCGAGCCUUUUUCUUGUCACCACCCCGUGCUCGUCUUGUUUGUUGUGGAACACCCACUUGUUUCCCACAACGUUUUGCUUUGGACGUGGCACCGGGCUCCAAACUUCAUUCCUUUUGAAGUUGUUGAGCUCUUCCUGCAUGGCCAACACCCAGUCCGGAUCCUGCAAGGCCUCUUCUACCCUGAAAGGCUCAAUAGAAGAGACAAACGAGUAAUGCUCACAAAAAUUAGCUAAUCUUGAGCGAGUAGUUACUCCCUUGCUUAUGUCACCCAGAAUUUGAUCGACGUGGUGAUUUCUUUGGAUCGUCGCUUGGACUUGGGUUGGAGGGGCACUUGGCGCCUCUUCCUCCAUCACUUGUUCUUGUGCUCCCCCUUGAUCACAUGCCUCUUCUUGAUGAACUUGUCCAUCAUCUUGAGUUGGAGGAUGCACCAUUGUAGAUGAAGAAGGCUGAUCUUGCUCCUGUUGUUCCUGUGGUCGCACAUCACCAAUUGCUAUCGUGCGCAUUGCGGCCAAUGGAACAUCAUCUUCAUCUAUAUCAUCAAGAUCAACUUGCUCUCUUGGAGAGCCAUUAGUCUCAUCAAAUACAACGUCGCUAGAGACUUCAACCAAACCCGAUGAUUUGUUGAAGACUCUAUACGCCUUUGUAUUUGAGCCAUACCCUAGUAAAAACCCUUCUACAGCUUUGGGAGCAAAUUUGGAAUGUCUACCUUUCUUCACCAAAAUGUAGCAUUUUCUCCCAAAUACACGAAAGUACGAUACAUUGGGUUUGUUACCGGUAAGGAGUUCAUAGGAGGUCUUCUUGAGGAGGCGAUGCAGAUAGAGCCGGUUUAUGUCGUGGCAAGCUGUGUUCACAGCUUCCGACCAAAACCGCUCGGGCGUCUUGAACUCUCCAAGUAUCGUCCUCGCCAUGUCGAUAAGCGUCUUGUUUUUCCUCUCUACCACACCGUUUUGCUGUGGUGUGUAGGGAACAGAGAACUCAUGCUUGACACCUUCCUCCUCAAGAUAUUCUUCAACUUGUAAGUUCUUGAACUCGAACUCGUUGUCUCUCCUUAUCUUUUUCACCUUGAGCUCAAAUUUGUUUUGAGCCCUCCUUAGAAAGCGCUUUAGCGUCCAUUGGGUUUCUGAUUUAUCCUGCAAAAAGAACACCAAGUGAAGCGGGAAAAUUCAUCUACAAUUACAAGACCAUACUUACUUCCCCCAAUAAUCCAGCUUAAGCCCCCAGAUGCAUAAACCUGCAAAGUAAGUUACACUUGGGUUUUAGGUACCCAACUCUUGUUGGGUCCUACAAGGUUAGUCACAAUAGCCUUUGGAUCCCAAAUACAAGUCUUAUCUCCCUUGCAUUUGGAUCCCAACUUCCUAGCAACUACUUUUUCAUUCUUACAACAAAUUGCAAAAGAAGUAUUGCAAGCAUGGUAAAUAGUAGAAGGUUCAUUACAUACUUUCCUAGGCACAUGAUGCACAACAUGAUUUCUCCUAGGCUUACUUCUACCAUGCACAAAAGUAGAGCUAGAAGCAAACAUAGCAUGUGAAUUAAACGCAUCAUAACUCCUAUUAUAAUGAGCAUUUCUAGAAAAUGUUCUAUCAUAAAUGUAAGCAUGACAUUUUUGAGAACUACUAGCCAUAGGAGCCUUCCAUUUCUCCUUGUUGAGAAUGGGAGCCCUUUGGCUUGUUAAGUUCUUGGUUUCCUUUUGAAAACCAAGUCCAUCCUUAAUAGAGGGGUGUCUACCAAUUGUGUAGGCAUCCCUAGCAAAUUUUAACUUAUCAAAAUCAACCUUGCAAGUCUUAAGUUGGGCAUUAAGGCUUGCCACCUCAUCAUUUAAUUUAGUAAUGGACGCAAGAUGUUCAUUACAAGCAUCAAUAUCAAAAUCCUUGCAUCUAUUACAAAUAACAACAUGCUCUAUACAAGAACUAGAUUUAUUAGCUUCCUCUAGCUUGGCAUUUAAAUCAUCAUUUAAACUUUUUAAACUAGAUACAGUUUCAUGGCAAGCAGACAUCUCAGAAGACAACACUUCAUUUCUUUUAAGUUCUAAGGCAAGAGACUUUUGAACACUAACAAAUUUGUCAUGUUCCUCAUACAAAAUGUCCUCUUGCCUCUCUAGCAGACUAUCUUUUUCAUUUAAAGCAUCAAUUAAUUCAUUGAUUUUAUCUACUUUUGCUCUAUCUAAACCCUUAAAUAAAUCAGUAUAAUCGACUUCAUCAUCACUAGAAUCAUCAUCGCUAGAAGUAGUAUACUUAGAGGUAUUUCGAACACUUACCUUCUUUUCCUUGGUCAUGAGACACGUAUGGCGUUCGUUGAGGAAGAGUGAAGACUUGUCGAAGGCUGAGGCGGCCAGUCCCUCAUCGUCGGAGUCAGAUGAAGAGCAGUCGGAGUCCCACUCCUUUCCAAGGUGUGCAUCGCCCUUCACCUUCUUGUAGUUCUUUUUCUUUUCACUCUUGCCGUGUUUUUCUUGUGCCUGGUCAUUCUCAUUAUCGGGACAUUGAGCAAUAAAGUGACCAGUCUUACUGCAUUUGAAGCAGGAGCGCUUUCCCCUUGUUUUGUUCUUGUUGGGGUACUCCUUGCGUCCUUUAAGUGCGGUCUUGAAGCGCUUGAUGAUAAGCGCCAUCUCAUCCUCGUUGAGGCCAGCAGCCUCUACUUGUGCCACCCUGCUUGGAAGCGCCUCCCUGCUGCUAGUAGCCUUAAAAGCCACAGGUUGAGGCUCGUAGACGAGUAGUGAACCGUUUAGCGCAUCGUCCACAUAUCGAGCCUCCUUCACCAUCAUGCGCCCGCUCACAAACUUCCCAAGAAUCUCUUCGGGCGUCAUCUUGGUUGAAAGGGAAUCAGGCUUACACCUUUUUCCUAAUUGAUUUUGGUGGUUGAAUUGCCCAACACAAAUAAUUGGACUAACUAGUUUGCUCUAGUCUAUAAGUUCUACAGGUGCCAAAGGUUCACAAUAAGCCAAUAAAAAGACCAAGAAAGGGGUCAAACAAAGAGAGCAAAAGACAACCCAAAGGCACCCUGGUCUGGCGCACCGGACUGUCCGGUGCACCAGGGCACUUGAAGCUGAACUCGCUACCUUCGGGAAAUUCCAAGGGCGCUCCGCUAUAAUUCACCGGACUGUCCGGUGAGUCACCGAAUAGUGUCCGGUGCACACCGGACUGUCCGGUGUGCCAGCGGAGCAACGACUACUUCGCUCGCAACGGUCGACUGCAACCGCAUUCAAUGUGCUACAGUGCGCGCCAGAGUCAGAGCACGCGCAGUUGGCGCACCGGACAGUCUAUAGGACCUGUCCGGUGCACCACCGGACAGCCCAGAGGCCCCACAAGUCAGAGCUCCAACGGUCAAACCCCAACGGUCUGCUGACGUGGCUGGCGCACCGGACAGUGUCCGGUGCGCCAUGCGACAGCAGUCUUCCAACGGCCAUCUUUUGGUGGUUGGGGCUAUAAAUACCCCCAACCACCCCACAUUCAUUUGCAUCCAAGUUUCUACACUUCUACACCUUACAAGAGCUAUAGCAUUCAAUACAAGACAGAACAAAGAGAUCAAAUCCUCUCCCAACUCCACACAAAGCUUUAGUGAUUAGAGAGAGGGAUUUGUUGUGUUCAUUUGAGCUCUUGCGCUUGGAUUGCUUCUUUUCUUUCUCAUUCUUCUUGUGAUCAAACUCAAUUGUAACCAAGGCAAGAGACACCAAUUGUGUGGUGGUCCUUGCGGGAACUUUGUGUUCCGUUUGAUUGAGAAGAGAAGCUCACUCGGUCUAAGUGACCGUUUGAGAGAGGGAAAGGGUUGAAAGAGACCCGGUCUUUGUGACCACCUCAACGGGGAGUAGGUUUGCAAGAACCGAACCUUGGUAAAACAAAUCAUCGUGUCUCACUCUUUAUUCGCUCACGAUUUGUUUUUUCGCCCUCCCUCUCAAACUCAUUUAUAUUUCUAACGCUAAUCCGGCUUGUAGUUGUGCUUAAGUUUAUAAAUUUCAGAUUCGCCCUAUUCACCCCCUCCUCUAGGCGACUUUCAAUUGGUAUCGGAGCCCGGUGCUUCAUUAGAGCCUAACCGCUCGAAGUGAUGUCGGGAGCAUCCGCCAUGAGGGAUCUCGGGACCGGCGACAAGACCGCAAGCUUGGGAAGAACACACUCAAGGGAGUCCGCCCACAAGCACAAGGAGGAAUCCUCUUCCUCCAUCAAGUCCCAUAGGAUGGGUGACAAGAAGAAGAAGAUGAGGAAGGUGGUCUACUACGAGACCGACUCUUCGUCACCCUCCACCUCCGGCUCGGAAUCAGCCUCCACCUUCAAAGCGCCAUGAGCGCAAGAAGUAUAGUAAGAUGCCCCUUCGCUAUCCUCGCAUUUCUAGACGCACUCCAUUACUCUCCGUUCCAUUAGGCAAACCACCUAUGUUUGAAGAUGAAGAUUAUUCUAUGUGGAGUGAUAAAAUGAGGCAUCACCUAACCUCACUCCACAAAAGCAUAUGGGAUAUUGUUGAGUAUGGAGUGCAGGUACCAAAGAAAGGAGACAAGGAUUACGACUCGGAGGAGGUCGAACAAAUCCAACACUUCAACUCUCAAGCCACAACUAUACUCCUCGCCUCUCAAAGUCGAGAGGAGUAUAAUAAGGUGCAAGGGUUGAAGAGCGCAAAGGAAAUUUAGGACGUGCUAAAGACCGCGCACGAGGGAGACGAGGUGACCAAGAUCACCAAGCGGGAGACGAUCGAGGGGGAGCUCGGUCGCUUCCGGCUUCGCCAAGGGGAGGAGCCACAAUAUAUGUACAACCGGCUCAAGACCUUGGUAAACCAAGUGCGCAACCUCGGGAGCAAAAAAUGGGAUGACCAUGAAAUGGUUAAGGUUAUUCUUAGAUCACUUGUGUUCCUUAACCCUACGCAACUUCAAUUAAUUCGUGGUAAUCCUAGAUAUACACUAAUGACUCCCGAGGAAGUAAUAGGAAACUUUGUGAGCUUUGAGUUGAUGAUCAAAGGCUCAAAGAAAAUUAUCGAGCAUGACGGCCCCUCCAUGCCCGAAGCACAACCGGUCGCAUUCAAGGCAACGGAGGAGAAGAAAGAGGAGUCUACAUCAAGUAGACAACCCAUCGACGCCUCUAAGCUCGACAAUGAGGAAAUGGCGCUCAUCAUCAAGAGCUUCCGCCAAAUCCUCAAACAAAGGAAGGGGAAAGAUUACAAGCUCCGUUCCAAGAUGGUGUGCUACAAGUGUGGUAAGCCCGGUCAUUUCAUUGCUAAAUGUUCUUUAUCUAGUGAUAGUGACAGGGGCGACGACAAGAAGGGCAAGAGGAGAGAAAAGAGGAGGUUUUACAAGAAGAAGGGCGGCGAUGCCCAUGUGUGCCGUGAGUGGGACUCCGACGAGAGAUCCUCCGACUCCUCAUCCGACGAGGAUGCCGCCAACAUCGUUGUCACCAAGGGACUCCUCUUCCCCAACGUCGGCCACAAGUGCCUCAUGGCAAAGGACGGCAAAAAGAAGAAGGUGAAAUCAAAAUCCUCCACCAAAUAUGCAUCCUCUAGUGAUGAAGAUAAUGCUAGUGAUGAGGAGGAUAAUUUGCGUACCCUUUUUGCCAACCUAAACAUGCAACAAAAAGAAAAACUAAAUGAAUUAAUUAGUGCUAUUCAUGAGAAGGAUGAUCUCUUAGACUCACAAGAGGACUUCCUAAUUAAGGAAAAUAAGAAGCAUGUUAAGGUUAAGAAUGCUUAUGCUCUAGAAGUAGAAAAAUGUGAAAAAUUAUCUAGUGAGCUAAGCACAUGCCAUGAUAUUAUUACCAACCUUAGAAAUGAGAAUGCUAGUUUAAUUGCUAAGGUUGAUUCAAAUGUUUGUGAUGCUUCAAAUCCCAAUCUUAGAGAUAAUAAUGUUGAAUUACUUGCUAAGAUUGAAGAAUUAAAUGUUUCUCUUGCUAGCCUUAGAAAUGAUAAUGAAAAAUUAAUUGCUAAGGCUAAAGAAAUAGAUGUUUGCAAUGCUUCCAUUUCCAAUCUUAGAGAUAACAAUGAUAUUUUACGUGCUAAGAUUGUUGAACUUAAUUCUUGCAAACCCUCUACAUCUACUAGUGAACAUGUCACUAUUUGCACUAGAUGUAGAGGUAUUAACAUUGAUGCUAUUCAUGAUCAUAUGGCUUUAAUUAAACAACAAAAUGAUCAUAUAGCAAAAUUAGAUGCUAAAAUUGCCGAGCAUGACUUAGAAAAUGAAAAAUUUAAAUUUGCUAGAAGCAUGCUCUAUAGUGGGAGACGCCCUGGCAUCAAGGAUGGCAUUGGCUUCCAAAAGGGGGACAAUGUCAAACUUAGUGCCCCUCCUAAAAGAUUGUCAAACUUUGUUAAGGGCAAAGCUCUCAUGCCUCAGGAUAACGAGGGUUACAUUUUGUACCCAGCCGGUUAUCCUGAGAGCAAAAUUAGGAGAAUUCACUCUAGGAAGUCUCACUCUGUCCCUAAUCAUGCUUUUAUGUAUAAGGGUGAGACAUCUAGCUCUAGGCAAUCAACCCGUGCAAAAUUGCCUAAGAAGAAAACUCCUAUUGCAUCAAAUAAUUCUAACAUUUCAUUUAAGACUUUUGAUGCAUCGUAUGUUUUAACUAACAAAUCCGGCAUGGUAGUUGCCAAAUAUGUUGGGGGCAAGCACAAGGGGUCAAAGACUUGUGUUUGGGUACCCAAAGUUCUUGUGUCUAAUGUCAAAGGACCCAAAACCAUUUGGGUACCUAAAAUCAAGAACUAAAUUUGUUUUGUAGGUUUAUGCAUCCGGGGGCUCAAGUUGGAUCAUCGAUAGCGAGUGCACAAACCACAUGACAGGGGAGAAGAAGAUGUUCUCCUCCUAUGAGAAAAACCAAGAUCCCCAAAGAGCGAUCACAUUCGGGGAUGGAAACCAAGGUUUGGUCAAAGGAUUGGGUAAAAUUGCUAUAUCUCCUGCCCAUUCCAUUUCCAAUGUUUUUCUUGUAGAUUCUUUAGACUAUAACUUGCUUUCAGUUUCUCAAUUAUGUAAAAUGGGUUACAACUGUUUUUUACGAAUAUAGGUGUUACUGUCUUUAGAAGAAGUGAUGAUUCAGUAGCGUUUAAGGGAGUGUUGGAGGGUCAGCUAUACUUGGUAGAUUUUGAUAGAGAUGAACUCAACACUUGCUUAAUUGCUAAGACUAACAUGGGCUGGCUCUGGCAUCGCCGACUAGCACAUGUUGGAAUGAAGAAUCUUCACAAACUUCUAAAGGGAGAACACAUUUUGGGACUAACAAAUGUUCAUUUUGAGAAAGACAGGAUUUGUAGCGCAUGUCAGGCAGGGAAGCAAGUUAGUGUUCAUCAUCCACACAAGAACAUCAUGACGACUGACAGGCCACUCGAGCUCCUACAUAUGGACCUUUUCGGCCUGAUAGCUUACAUAAGCAUCGGCGGGAGUAAGUACUGUCUAGUUAUUGUGGAUGAUUAUUCUCGCUUCACUUGGGUGUUCUUUUUGCAGGAAAAAUCUCAUACCCAAGAGACCUUAAAGGGAUUCUUGAGACGGGCUCAAAACGAGUUCGGCUUAAGGAUCAAGAAAAUUAGAAGCGACAACGGGACGGAGUUCAAGAACUCUCAAAUCGAAGGCUUUCUUGAGGAAGAGGGCAUCAAGCAUGAGUUCUCUUCUCCCUACACGCCACAACAAAAUGGUGUAGUGGAGAGGAAGAAUCGAACUCUAUUGGACAUGGCAAGAACCAUGCUUGAUGAGUACAAGACUUCGGAUCGGUUUUGGGCAGAGGCGGUCAACACCGCUUGCUACGCCAUCAACCGGUUGUAUCUACACCAAAUCCUCAAGAAGACAUCAUAUGAACUCCUAACCGGUAAAAAGCCCAAUGUUUCAUAUUUUAGAGUCUUUGGUAGCAAAUGUUUUAUUCUUGUUAAAAGAGGUAGAAAAUCCAAAUUUGCUCCUAAGACUGUAGAAGGCUUUUUACUAGGAUAUGAUUCAAACACAAGAGCAUAUAGAGUCUUUAACAAGUCCUCUGGACAAGUUGAAGUUUCUUGUGACAUUGUGUUUAAUGAGACUAAUGGCUCUCAAGUAGAGCAAGUUGAUCUUGAUGAGAUAGGUGAUGAAGAGGCUCCAUGCGUCGCACUAAGGAACAUGUCCAUUGGGGAUGUGUGUCCUAAGGAAUCCAAAGAGCCUCCACAAACACAAGAUCAACCAUCUUCCUCAAUGCAAGCAUCUCCACCGACUCAAGAUGAGGAUGAGGCUCAAAAUGAUGAAGGAAAAGAUCAAGGAGUUGAGCCACCUCAAGAGGAGAGCAAUGAUCAAGGGGGAGAUGCCCAUGAUCAAGAUGAGGAAGAUGAACAAGUUCCAAAACCACCACACCCAAGAGUCCACCAAGCAAUCCAACGAGAUCACCCCGUGAACACUAUCCUCGGCGACAUUCAAAAGGGGGUAACUACUCGAUCUCGUGUUGCUCAUUUUUGUGAACAUUACUCUUUUGUUUCCUCUAUUGAGCCACACAGGGUAGAGGAAGCACUUCAAGAUUCGGAUUGGGUGGUGGCAAUGCAAGAGGAGCUCAACAACUUCACUAGGAAUGAGGUAUGGCAUUUAGUUCCAUGUCCUAAUCAAAAUGUUGUAGGAACCAAGUGGGUCUUUCGCAACAAGCAAGAUGAGCAUGGUGUGGUGACAAGGAACAAAGCCCGACUUGUGGCCAAGGGGUAUUCACAAGUCGAAGGUUUGGAUUUCGGUGAAACCUAUGCACCCGUAGCUAGGCUAGAAUCAAUUCACAUUUUAUUUGCCUAUGCUACUUACCAUGGCUUUAAGCUUUACCAAAUGGACGUGAAAAGUGCCUUCCUCAAUGGACCAAUCAAGGAAGAGGUCUAUGUUGAGCAACCUCCCGGCUUUGAAGAUAGUGAGUACCCUAACCAUGUUUAUAAACUCUCUAAGGCGCUUUAUGGGCUCAAGCAAGCCCCCAAGAGCAUGGUAUGAAUGCCUUAGAGAUUUUCUUAUCACUAAUGGCUUCAAAGUCGGAAAAUCCGAUCCUAGUUUAUUCACUAAAACUCUUGACAAUGAUUUGUUUGUAUGCCAAAUUUAUGUUGAUGAUAUUAUAUUUGGGUCUACUAACGAAUCUACAUGUGAGGAAUUUAGUAGGAUCAUGACACAGAAAUUCGAGAUGUCUAUGAUGGGGGAGUUGAAGUACUUUUUGGGAUUUCAAGUGAAGCAACUCCAAGAGGGCACCUUCAUUAGCCAAACAAAGUAUAUUCAAGACAUUCUAAACAAGUUUGGGAUGAAGGAUGCCAAACCCAUCAAGACACCCAUGGGAACCAAUGGGCAUCUCGACCUCGACACGGGAGGUAAAUCCGUCGAUCAAAAGGUAUACCGAUCGAUGAUAGGCUCUUUACUCUACUUAUGUGCAUCUCGACCGAACAUUAUGCUUUCCGUAUGCAUGUGUGCAAGAUUCCAAGCUGACCCUAAGGAAGCUCACCUUACGGCUGUAAAACGAAUCUUGAGAUAUUUAGUUCAUACUCCUAAGUUUGGGCUUUGGUACCCUCGGGGAUCCACAUUUGAUUUAAUUGGUUAUUCGGAUGCCGAUUGGCCGGGGUGUAAGAUUAAUAAAAAGAGCACAUCGGGGACUUGCCAGUUCUUGGGAAGAUCCUUGGUGUCUUGGGCUUCAAAGAAGCAAAAUUUUGUAGCUCUUUCUACCGCCGAAGCCGAGUAUAUUGCCGCAGGUCAUUGUUGCGCGCAACUACUUUGGAUGAGGCAAACCCUUAGGGACUAUGGUUACAAAUUAACCAAAGUUCCUCUUCUAUGUGAUAAUGAGAGUGCAAUCCGCAUGGCGAAUAAUCCCGUUGAGCAUAGCCGCACUAAACACAUAGCCAUUCGGUAUCAUUUCUUAAGGGAUCACCAACAAAAAGGGGAUAUCGAGAUUGCUUACAUUAACACUAAAGAACAAUUAGCCGAUAUCUUUACCAAGCCACUGGAUGAACAAACUUUUAACAAACUUAGGCAUGAGCUAAAUAUUCUUGAUUCUCGGAAUUUCUUUUGAUGUUUUGCACACAUAGCUCAUAAGUAUACCUUUGAUCAUAUCUCUUUUAUAUGCUAUGACUAAUAUGUUUUCAAGUAUAUUUCAAACCAAGUCAUAGGUGUAUUAAAAGGGAAUUGGAGUCUUCGGCGAAGACAAAGGCUUCCAGUCCACUCCAUAACUCAUCCUUCGCCGUCGCUCCGAGCAACUCUCCAACUUUGGUAUAAUCUUCACUCAUAUUGUGUUCACCAAAAGGAGAGAAAGUAGUUAUAAGGGCUUAUAUUUCACUCAAGUAUCCGUUUUUGGCGAUUCAUGCCAAAGGGGAGAAAGUAUUAGCCCAAAGCAAAAAGACCGCACCACCACCCAUUUUCAAAAAGUUUUAAAAUGAUGAAUUUCUCAAUUGAUUUCUUAUUAUAUUCAAAAGAGGGAGAAAAUAGCACCUUCAAAAAUUGGUAUCUUAAAACCCUCUUAAACACUAAGAGGAGGAAUUUAUUGAGGGGGGUUUUGUUUAAGUCAAAGAAAAAGCAUUUGAAACAGGGGGAGAAAAUUUCAAAUCUUGACAAUGCUUCUCAAAAAAAAAAUUUAUUCAUUUACCUUUGACUAUUUGCAAAAGGACUUUGAAAACAAUUUACAAAAGAAUUUGCAAAAACAAAACAUGUGGUGCAAGCGUGGUCCAAAAUGUUAAAGUAAAGAAACAAUCCAUGCAUAUUCUAUGAAAAUAUUUAUUGGCUCAAUUCUAAGUAACCUUUGCACUUACAUUAUGCAAACUAGUUCAAUUAUGCACUUCUAUAUUUGCUUUGGUUUGUGUUGGCAUCAAUCACCAAAAGGGCGAGAUUGAAAGGGAAUCAGGCUUACACCUUUUUCCUAAUUGAUUUUGGUGGUUGAAUUGCCCAACACAAAUAAUUGGACUAACUAGUUUGCUCUAGUCUAUAAGUUCUACAGGUGCCAAAGGUUCACAAUAAGCCAAUAAAAAGACCAAGAAAGGGGUCAAACAAAGAGAGCAAAAGACAACCCAAAGGCACCCUGGUCUGGCGCACCGGACUGUCCGGUGCACCAGGGCACUUGAAGCUAAACUCGCUACCUUCGGGAAAUUCCAAGGGCGCUCCGCUAUAAUUCACUGGACUGUCCGGUGAGUCAUCGGACAGUGUCUGGUGCACACCGGACUGUCCGGUGUGCCAGCGGAACAACGGCUACUUCGCGCGCAACGGUCGACUGCAACUGCAUUCAAUGCGCUACAGUGCGCGCUAGAGUCAGAGCACGCGUAGUUGGCGCAUCGGACAGUCUACAGGACCUGUCCGGUGCACCACCGGACAGCCCAGAGGCCCCACAAGUCAGAGCUUCAACGGUCGAACCCCAACGGUCUGCUGACGUGGCUGGCGCACCGGACAGUGUCCGGUGGCGCACCGGACUGUCCGGUUCGCCAUGCGACAGCAGUCUUCCAACGGCCAUCUUUUGGUGGUUGGGGCUAUAAAUACCCCAACCACCCCACAUUCAAUUGCAUCCAAGUUUCUACACUUCUACACCUUACAAGAGCUAUAGCAUUCAAUACAAGACACACCAAAGAGAUCAAAUCCUCUCCCAACUCCACACAAAGCUUUAGUGAUUAGAGAGAGAGAUUUGUUGUGUUCAUUUGAGCUCUUGCACUUGGAUUGCUUCUUUUCUUUCUCAUUCUUCUUGUGAUCAAACUCAAUUGUAACCAAGGCAAGAGACACCAAUUGUGUGGUGGUCCUUGCGGGAACUUUGUGUUCCGUUUGAUUGAGAAGAGAAGCUCACUCGGUCUAAGUGACCGUUUGAGAGAGGGAAAGGGUUGAAAGAGACCCGGUCUUUGUGACCACCUCAACGGGGAGUAGGUUUGCAAGAACUGAACCUCGGUAAAACAAAUCAUCGUGUCUCACUCUUUAUUCACUCACGAUUUGUUUUUCGCCCUCUCUCUCGGACUCAUUUAUAUUUCUAACGCUAACCCGGCUUGUAGUUGUGCUUAAGUUUAUAAAUUUCAGAUUCGCCCUAUUCACCCCCCUCUAGGCGACUUUCAUUGGUGUACCUGGGAUUCUCACGAAUAAGGUUGACAAGAUGGGGAUCAAUUACGGUAAAUGACCUUAGCAUUAGUCGGACGACGUCGUGGUCCGUCCAUCUUGUGCUUCCAUAGCUCCUAAUUUUGUUGACCAGGGUCUUGAGCCUGUUGUAUGUUUGAGUUGGCUCCUCUCCCCUGAUCAUGGCAAACCUCCCCAGCUCGCCUUCCACCAGUUCCAUCUUGGUGAUCAUAGUGGCAUCAUUUCCCUCAUGUGAGAUCUUGAGGGUAUCCCAGAUUUGCUUGGCGUUGUCCAAGCCGCUAACCUUGUUGUAUUCAUCCCUGCAGAAAGAUGCUAGCAAAACAGUGGUAGCUUGUGCAUUCUUAUGAAUUUGUUCAUUAAUUAUCAUAGGGUUAUCCGUACUAUCAAAAUGCAUUCCAUUCUCAACGAUUUCCCAAAUGCUAGGAUGGAGAGAGAAUAGAUGACUACGCAUUUUAUGACUCCAAAAUGGGUAAUCCUCUCCAUCAAAGUGUGGGGGUUUUCCAAGAGGAAUAGAAAGUAAAUGGGCAUUUGAAUUGUACGGAAUGCGGGAAUAAUCAAAGGAAUAGUUUUAAUUAACCGUCUUUUUCUUUGAUGAAGAGUCAUCAUCGUCGUCGUCUCUUGGUGAAGAAGAAUAUUCAUCGCUGUCGUAGUAGACGAUCUUCUUGAUGCGCCUCUUCUUCUUCCCGUCCUUCUUCUUAAGACUCGAGCCAGAGUCAGUGGGCUUGUCGUUCCCUGGCUCGUUGAAGAGGGACUCCUUCUCCUUGUUGUUGACCACCAUCCCCUUUCCCUUAGGAUCCAUCUCUUCGGGCGAUUAGUCCCUUAGAUGAAGAGAACGACUCUGAUACCAAUUGAGAGCACCUAGAGAGGGGGGUGAAUAGGUGAUCCUGUAAAAUUCAACACUAAUAGCCACAAAACUUUGUUAUGUAAGUUAGAACGGCUAAGUAGCUUGAAGCGAGUUCUUGUGAACACAGAUAAUCAAAGGUAAAAGCACACAAGAGACACGCGAUUUUUAUCCCGUGGUUUGGCCAAGUAAUACUUGCCUACUUCCACGUUGUGGCGUCCCAAUGGACGAGGGUUGCACUCAACCCCUUUCAAGUGAUCCAAUGAUCAACUUGAAUACCACGGUUUUUCCUUUCUUUGUCUUUCUCCCAUUUGUGAGGAAUCUCCACAACUGGGAGCCUCUCGCCCUUACAAUGAUGAUCACAAAAGAUGUAUGGAAGUAAGGGAGGGGAGAGCAAUACACACAAGACUCAAAUCACAACACAAUCACGCACACAAGUCACAACUUGAGCUCAAAACACAACCCACGGAGUUCACAACUCAAAUGGAGCUCAAGUCACUAUCUCAAAGUAUCAAAUGUGCGAAGUUGGAGUCUUGGAGGCUUAGAAUGUUUCUUUAAUGCUUGGGUAGCUCCUCCAUGCGCCUAGGGGUCCCUUUUAUAGCUCCAAGGCAGCUAGGAGCCGUUGGAGGCCAACAAGGAAGGCUAUCUUUGCCUUCUGUCGGGUGGCGCACCGGACAGUCAGGUGCGCCACCGGACAGUCACUAUAGACGGUCCGGUGUUGAUCUUCUUCCUAUUCUGGCACAGACGACCAUUGCAGAUUCAUGGCAGUUGGCGCACCGGACACUGUCCGGUGCACACCAGACAGUCCGGUGCCUCCUGCCGACCGUUGGCGCGGGCCACGCGUCGCUCGCGGAUUGCGCGGCCGACCGUUGCGCUGGCAACCAUUGGCUCACCGGACAGUCCGGUGCACCACCGAAUAGUCUGGUGAAUUAUAGCCUUACGCCGCCGAUUUUCCCGAGAGUGGCCUGUUCACCGGAAGCCAGCCUGGCGCACCGGACACUGUCCGAUGCACCACCGGACACUGUCCGGUGUGCUAGACUGAGCUGGACUUCGGCUGUACACAGCCAAGUCACUUGCAAUCCUUUUCUUCUUUUCUUUUCUCUGUUUCUAGCACUUAGACAAAAUAUGUUAGUACUCAAAACAAUGUACUAAGUCUAGAAACGUACCUUGUUACAUGAUUUACACUUUUUGCUUGUUUGGCACAUAAUAUCUCACUCACCAUGUGUUGGCCACUUAAUCACCAAAACAUUAUAGAAAUGGCCCAAGGGCGCAUUUCCCUUUCACUCACAAAAAUUAGCUAAUCGUGAGUGAGUUGUUACUCCCUUGCUUAUGUCACCCAGAAUCUAAUCCACUGGGUGAUUUCUUUGGAUCGUCGCUCGGACUUGAGUUGGAGGGGCCCGUGAUGCUUCUUCCUCCAUAACAUGUUCUUCCUGUGCUCCCCUUUAAUCAUGUCCUUCUUCUUGAGGUACCUGUUCAUUGUCUUGAGUUGGAGGAUGCACCAUCAUAGAGGAAGAGGGUUGAUCUUGUUCCUGUAGUUCCUGUGGUCGCACAUCACCUAUCGCCAUAGUUCGCAUUGCGGCCGUCGGAACCUCGUCUUCAUCUACAUCAUCAAGAUCAACUUGCUCUCUUGGAGAGCCAUUUGUCUCAUCAAAUACAAUGUCGCUAGAGACUUCAACUAAUCCUGAUUUGUUGAAGACCCUAUACGCCUUUGUAUUUGAGUCAUAUCCUAGUAAAAACCCUUCUACUGCUUUGGGAGCAAAUUUUGAAUGUCUACCUUUCUUCACCAGAAUGUAGCAUUUGCUCCCAAAUACACGAAAAUAAGAAACAUUGGGUUUGUUACCAGUUAGGAGUUCGUAGGAGGUCUUCUUGAGGAGACGGUGCAGAUAGAGCCAGUUUAUGGCAUGGCAAGCUGUGUUCACAGCUUCCAACCAAAACCGUUGAGGCGUCUUGUAUUCUCCAAGCAUCGUCCUUGCCAUAUCAAUUAGCGACCUCUUCUUCCUUCUACCACAUCGUUUUGCUGCGAUGUGUAGGGAGCGGAGAACUCAUGCUUGAUGCCUUCCUCCUCAAUAUAUUCCUCGACCUGAAGAUUCUGGAAUUCAGACCCGUUGUUGCUUCUUAUCUUCUUUACCUUUAGCUCAAAUUUGUUUUGAGCUCUCUUUAGGAAGCGCUUUAGGGUUACUUGGGUUUCAGAUUUAUCCUGUAAAAAGAACACCCAAGUGAAGCGGGAAAAGUCAUCUACAAUAACAAGACCAUACUUACUUCCCCUGAUGCUGAGAUAGGCAACGGGCCGAAGAGAUCCAUGUGUAGGAGCUCCGGUGGUCUUGAUGUCGUCAUCACAUUCUUGCUGUGAUGAGUGCCUCCCACCUGCUUUCCUGCCUGGCAUGCUAUACAAGGUCUGUCUUUCUCAAAACAGAUAUCUGUUAGUCCUAACACAUGAUCUCCCUUUAUAAGUUUAUGAAGGUUCUUCAUCCCAACAUGUGCUAUACGGCGAUGCCAAAGCCAGCCCAUAUUAGUCUUAGCGAUUAAGCAUGCAUCUAGAUCUGCAUUCUCGUUUGAGAAAUCAACUAAAUAGAACUUGCCGUCUAAUACACCCUUAAAAGCUAAUGAACCAUCACACCUUCUAAAGACAGAUACAUCAAUAUUUGUAAAUAAACAAUUGUAGCCCAUUUGACACAAUUGACUUACAGACAAUAAAUUAUACCCAAGCGACUCUACUAAAAACACAUUUGAUAUUGAGUACUCGGUUGUGAUGGCUAUCUUGCCCAAUCCUUUAACCUUGCCUUGAUUCCCAUCUCCAAAAAAUGAUGGUGUCUUGGGAAUCCCUGUUUUUGACAUAGGAAGUGAACAUUUUCUUCUCCCCCGUCAUGUGGUUUGUGCAUCCGCUAUCGAUAAUCCAGCUUGAUCCCCCGGAUGCAUAAACCUGCAAGGCAAUUAAGCUUGGGUUUUAGGUACCCAACUCUUGUUGGGUCCUACAAGGUUAGUUACAACAACUUUUGGAACCUAGAUGCAAUUUUUGUCUCCCUUGUAUUUAGAUCCCAAUUUUCUAGCAACUACUUUGGCAUUUUUCCAUAACAAUACAAAAGAAGCAUUACAUGUUUGAUACAUAGUAGUUGGACCAGUGUAAACUUUCCUAGGUGCACGAGAAAUAGUAUGAUUGUGCCUAGGCCUACUCUUAUCAUGAACAUAUGUGGAACUAGAAGCAAACAUAGCAUGUGAAUCAUGAUAAGUAGGUAAAGCAACAUGAUUAUAAUAUUUAUCAUGAUGAGAAAUUUUCUUCGCAUGAGCAUAAAGAUAAGCAUGGUUCUUUUGAUCAUGUGAAGAAUACAAGCUGCUAGCCAUAGGGGCCUUCCCUUUCUCCUUGUUGAGACCGGAAGUCCUUUGGCUUGUUAAGUUCUUGGUUUCCUUUUGAAAACCAAGUCCAUCCUUAAUUGAGGGGUGUCUACCAAUAGUGUAGGCAUCCCUAGAAAAUUUUAACUUCUCAUAGUUAUCCUUGCAAGUCUUAAGUUGAGCAUUAAGACUUGCAACCUCAUUGUUUAACUUAAUAAUGGAAGAAGCAUAUUUAUUACAAGCAUCAACAUCCAGGUCUUUACAUCUACUGCAAAUAACAACAUGCUCUACACAUGAACUAGUUUCAUUUACUUUCUCUAGCUUAGCAUUCAAAUCAUCAUUUAAAUUCUUUAAGCUAGAAAUGGAUUCAUGACAGGUAGACAAUUCAGAGGAUAGUAUUUCAUUUUUUUUGACUUCUAUAGCAAGAGAUUUUUGGAUACUAAUAAAUUUAUCAUGUUCCUCAUACAAAAUAUCUUCUUGCUUUUCUAGCAAUCUAUCCUUUUCAAUAAGAGCAUCAAUUAAUUCAUUUAUUUUGUCUACCUUAGUUCUGUCUAAUCCCUUAAACAAAUCAGUAUAAUCUACUUCAUCAUCAGACGAUUCUUUAUCACUAGAAGAGGUAUAUUUGGGAGUGUCUCGAAUACAUACCUUCUUAUCCUUAGCCAUAGGGCACGUAUGGCGUUCGUUGGGGAAGAGUGAAGAUUUGUUGAAGGCCGAGGCAACUAGUCCUUCAUCUUCGGAGUCGGAUGAAGAACAGUCGGAGUCCCAUUCCUUCCCGAUGUGCGCCUCGCCUUUGGCCUUCCUAUAGUUUUUCUUCUUUUCCAUCUUCCCAUGCUUCUCUUGUGCCUGGUCAUUAUCGUUAUCGGGGCAUUGUGCAAUAAAGUGACCAGUCUUACCGCAUUUGAAGUAGGAGCGUUUUCCCCUUGACUUGUUCUUGUUGGGGUACUCCUUGUGUCCUUUUAGUGCGGUCUUGAAGCGUUUGAUGAUGAGCGCCAUCUCAUCCUCAUUAAGCCCGGUAGCCUCCACUUGUGCUACUUUGCUAGGUAGCGCCUCCUUGCUGCUAGUUGCUUUGAGAGCAACAGGCUACGGCUCGUUGACGGGAAGUGGACCAUUCAAGGCAUCGUCCACAUAUCGUGCUUCUUUCACCAUCAUGCGCCCGCUCACAAAUUUUUCGAGGAUUUCCUCGGCUGUCAUCUUGGUGUACCUAGGGUUUUCACGAAUAAGAUUUACAAGAUGGGGGAACCGUAAAUGACCUGAGCAUGAGUCGGACGACAUCAUGAUCCGUCCAUCUUGUACUCCUGUAGCUUCGGAUUUUGUUGACAAGGGUUUUUAGCCUGUUGUAUGUCUGUGUUGGCUCUUCUCCCCUUAUCAUCACAAAUCUCCCCAGCUCGCCUUCCACCAGUUCCAUUUUGGUGAUCAUAGUGGCAUCAUUCUCCUCGUGAGAAAUCUUGAGGGUGUCCCGGAUUUGUUUAGCGUUGUCCAAGCCGCUGAGCUUGUUAUAUUCAUCCCUGCAUAGAGAUGCUAGCAAAACAGUAGUGGCUGGGGCAUUCUUAUUGUAACACCCCUGGUGUUACGAGAACUAAAACCUUGGCAUGUCAUCAUAUGCAUCAGCAUCAUUUUGAUUGAUACACCUAGAAUGCAUUUCACUAGGUCAAAAUUUUCAAACCAUAUGUGGUGUGUUGUCUUGUUGAGAGCCAAAGGAGUUUGAAGAGUUAGUGAGUGGUCGAGUGAAAGCAAACUACUUCCAAGCUAAAAAUGUCUUGGCCAUGAAAUCCAAGUACUAAAAUUGAACUUUGAGGUGAAGUGUAAUCUUGCUUUAAGUAAGGGAUCAGACUGGUGAGAUUUGUCUGGAGAAAAGCAAUCUCAAAUGAAACACUAAAGUAGCCCAAAGUGGAAUUUUAAAUCUAGAGAGAAUUUGCUAAAGAUCCAUAUAUCAAAGUUGUAGAGUUUGGAGAGCUGAACAACUUUCAUGUAUGGAGAACUCCAUGUUUUAGAGGAAAAGUUGGAGUAAUAUGCUUAAAUCAAUUUUGAAUCAGAUUUGAAGUUUGCUGAAAAUAAUAUCAACUAGCUGUUUUUGGGUCCUCAUAACUUUUGAUCUAUGAACGGUUUGAAGGUGGACAUUAUAAUAAGGUUGUAGAGCUACACUAGGGAUACAAAUUUGCUCAGACAACCUGUCCCUAAAACCAUGUGAAACUGGGUGUAAAACUAGUCCAAAAUGGGGUUGUAAUACUUGUGGAGUUUCAGACUUAGUGCAAUCUCUGAAACUGAAGAUUUUAUAUUCUGAAGCAAACUUGGAGGCCUGUUAGUGGCUGAUACAUACAGCUAUGGGUUAAAGUUUAUGUACCAAGGUGGAAUACCACAUGUUGGUGUAUAAGUUUGGUUAAAGGUUAUGCCCCUAAAGAUGUAUGGAACUGGGAGAAACAAUGGCCCAAAGAUGCAAUGUGCUGUUCUGGAUUUCAGACUUAGUGAAAAACCAGAACCUGAAACUGUGUGUUUUGGUGCAAUUUGGAAACCCUUUUGAGUUUAAUCCAUAGAGUUGUGAGCCAUACUACUUGUGUCAAAGUUGAAGAGUGUAUAUCAGUGAACAAGUUCCUUUAAGGAAGGUUGGCUUGGUACUGCAUAAAAAGUGGAGCAAUAGUUGCUUAAAAUAGGGGCUGUCAGACUUCUAGAUUUUUCAGAUUUUGCAUAGUGUCUGAAUUCUAAAUCAGUGUUGGGAGUGCUGUUUGGGGAGCUUGUUCUGCUUAAUCAAUAAGGUUUUGGACUGAAGUUUUUGUAGAAAGUUUGAAGACCAUAUGUUAGUGAAUAAGUACCUUUAAGUAUGUUGGGUGUGAUCCCACACCAAAAGUGAAGUAAUGGUUGUCCAAAGUUGGACUUUCAGUCUGCGGUGACAGAAGGUUAUUCAGUCAACUGUAGCUUUGAUCCAGUGUGAUUUUCCAAAUUUUUGGAGCUAUUUUGUGACUAAUCCUUGGAGUAUUAAGCCAUAUCAUUAUAAGCAGAGUUGAAGAACAUAUAUUAGUGUGCAAGUUGAUGUGGGGAGGUAGCUCUGUCUCUAUGAAGAAAUGGGAGCAAAAGAAGGAUGAAUCUGGCUCUGCAGUCGAACUGAAGAAGUUCAGAGCAGUUAGUGUAGUCUGAAAUUUCAGACUAGAAAUAGUAACUGGCAGAGACUGAAUCUCAGUGUUGGUGCUCAGUUUAGAGUCCCUGUGCAGCCAAUCCCUGUGGUUUUGAAUUGAGAGUUUUGAAGCAAAAUGGGAGAUCAUGUAUAGGUUCAUAAAUUCCUUUAAGUCAUCUGGACCUGGUACUACAUAAACUUAGGAGAAAAGGGGUCACAAAAUGGCUCUGUCAGACGUUAAUGGCUGUUGAUUGGUUCAGAUAAGGAAGUUCGAGCUCAGAGUAAUGUACCCCACUUGUGGGUACUCUAGAUUUGAUUAUAGGUCUUUUUAGCCUAUACAAACUACAGUAACCGGGAAAAGCUAUGUUUACUGAAUAAUCUUGGGGCAAUGAAGUGGGCAUGUUGUGUUAAGAAUAAAGAGAAAAGGGGAGCUGAACUUGAGGUUUCAGUCGAGUAAAACAGCAGGAGCAGUUUCAGAAUAAUCUGAUGGAAGUAUCUCCAUCCACCAAAUUGAUAUAGGGAAUUCUAGGAUAUGCCAGCCCAAAAGAGACUUAUGAGAAAGGAAAGUUUAUUGUCAAAAAUUCACCACCCCGAGGAUAGAUGCAGGAAGGGUGCAAAGCCUAUCUCUUGGAUGAUUCAGCUGCUUCACUGUUGAUGAGGUGUCAUACAUGCAGUAAAGGUGUGCUGGACUUUUUCCCUGAGCUUCCACCUUGCGUGGUAAACAUGCAGGUGUGUGUUGGGGAUUGUUAAUUCUCAUUUUCCCUCUGAAAUAGCCCCUGCCCGACCUCCAUUAAGCCAACUCUUGUUAUGCUAGUUUGGAGCCCAAACUGAAUUGCUUGUGCUCUCGACGAUUUCCUGGUUUCCCCACUGUGCCUCCCUCGUGCAGCAGCAGUAGCGCUCGGCUCAGCUCCCUUCCUUCAUCACACAAAGCCCCACUUCGUCGUGCCUCCACCCUGCUUGGCUUUCCCCAUCAUACGUGGCUGCUGAGCACCUCGCCGAGGCUACAGCAGCGCUCAGCACAGGUCUUCCCUGGCGCCUGCCUCAUGGGUUCGCCGUAGAUUUUUUUUUGGAACUGCCGACCAUGUACUUAGUAUUAUUGUUGUCAUUAUCCCCUGCAGCUCCGGCCCGCCGGCGGUUCUCUCUACUCGACCUCCCUCAUCACUGCAUCUGCACAUACGCCGCUGCUUGCCGCGCUCCCUGGUGUGCGAGCUUGCCGGCACCCAGUCCUCCUCUCCACGCCAGAGUCCUUACCUCACCAUCAAGACAUCGUCGUCGCGCCGUCGUACGUUAUCUAGCUCCUUAGCACAGCACCGUCCUCCGACUCGACGUCUUUGCGUCCGUAGAACUUGCUAUCGUCGUUGGGUAAUUGCACCUUGGUGAUUGGCAUGGUUGCGUGUGUGUUUGGAUUAAUCGUAGCAUAGUUUUAUGUCCCGGGAAAGAUUGUCCGCGACUGUUUAUAGCUGGCUUGUGGUUCACACCAUCAGCUUGGGCUUUGUGAUGUGCGUGUGAAUCGUAGUGGUGCGAUCAGUGGAUGAAAGGAAUUAGUUGGUGAAGAAACAAGUUUACAUAAAAGGCCAUUGAUUUUGGUAUAGUCUAGAGAGUUGUUUUGCUAUCUUCUUUGCAAAUUACAAAAGCAUAAGCAUUCAUAUUCAUAUCAUUUCGUGUAGAGCUCCCAGAAAAGGAAGUUGAAAUUCAAGAAGUGGUUCCUGAAGAGGAGUCUGCUCCAGUGUUGUAGAUCCAGUGGUGGAGUCCCAUCUAACUGUAGAAAGAUUUUGGAUCUUUUCUGCAAUAAGGCAAGCCCCGGUGCAUUUGUCACCUUCCUUGUGUUUACAAAAUUUUAUCACUUAUAUGCUGCAUUAGGUGGUAGAAGUUGAUUGAUUAAACACUUGAUGCAUUACCAUUCCUUGAAAAGAUUCAUCACCAUAUCUUGUCACCUAUUUUAUAAAAGCUAGAGAUGCUUAGUCAUGCUGAUAGAUUAAGAAAAAUAUUUUUAAUCUAUGACUCAUGUUUUUACAAACAAGAAAAUGGGCUUGGGAUAAUGAAGGCCUCAAGACGUUGAUAAAUUCAUUAUCCAGGCAUGGCCCCUCUGUCAGGCGCCAAAGUUUUGAAAUAGUUUAAAAUGGGACCAGAAGUUGAGCAGGAAAGGUCACCCGUCUGUGUCGAUUAAGGACCGUACCGAUUGUUGGCCUGAUGAUCUAGGACCUUUUAACUGGCCACAUACCUCGUCAUGGGUAAGCCUGAACCCGGCUAUUCCAUACGUGAAAAGACAACCACGCACUGGGCGUGGGAGACGGUGGGAGUAGCAGUUACCCUCCUGGCAAGAAGCUGAAUGGUAGGGUAAUGUGCUCCCGGGUAGCGCGGACCGGUUCAUAUAGUGGAGGAUCCGUGGGAAUGGUUGACAUAUGCAAGGGUUAAGUGCUACAUAUGUCGUGUGGUUGGAGAUCCCCAGCUGGGUAUUAAUCGAUUCAGAUCGUCGUUACUUCUCGGAUAUGAAGACUGGAUCGCUGCCCUUCAUCGUAGAUAACAAGCGAAACAAAAAUUUUGAUUUUAAAAGAAAGUUAGUAUAGGACAAGUGAAUGCUCUAGAUUAGGCUAAUCUAGAUUCAGGAAAAGUACUUAACUUGUGAUGUAAAAUUUUGGCAUAAGGAUCCACUACUAGUAAGCUUUUCUGCAAAAAUGAGUCUUUGAAAUUUGAUAAGCUUUACCUUGAUUCCCGACAAACCAGCAUACCCUUGAGAGUCUUUUCUUUAGUCGGGUAAGUCUUGCUGAGUAAUUGCGUACUCAGGGUUUUAUUCCCUGUUGUUUUUCAGGUUGAAAUUUUGUUCUGUUGUGGAUGGUGCUAAGUGCCGGUGGGCUCGGCCUUCUUAUAUAAGUAUAUCCCUUCUAUAGUUUCUUUAAUGAGGAUUGUCACUUAAGCUAGCAUGUAUUUCAAAUUUACAAAUAUUCUAUAACAUUUUAAAGUGUAAUUCUUUUGAAACACUUUCUUUUGUAAUCACUCCGAUGAGGUAUAAUAAAAUCUUGAUAAACUUGUAAUCAUUUUGUAAUAAAGAGUUUAUUUCCGCUGCAA